rnacentral:lncRNA from 1 species
UGGGAGUAGAUUCUGUUAAAAUAGUUUAAUGUGAUUUGCUCUAUCAUAGAUACGUUUGUCUUAGUGUAUUUUGCAUUACUUUUGUUGUAGAUUAAAUGGCACCUAGCAACACCACACCGUUUGCUUUGCGUUCGGUCCUUGAGAAGGACAAGUUGAAUGGAACAAACUACUCAGAUUGGAUCCGUAACCUGAGAAUUGUUCUCAGGGCCGAUAAAAAGGAAGAUGUUCUAGACACCCCACUACCACCAGUACCUGCUGAUGAUGCAUCUGCUGCUGUUAAGGCUGCUUACAAGAAGGCAUUUGAUGCUAAUCUUGAGGUAAGCUGCCUUAUGCUUGCUUGCAUGGAACCCGAGUUGCAGAUGCAGUUUGAAACAAAUCAUGAGGCACACGAUAUGAUCCUGGCGCUCAAGGAUAUGUUCCAGACACAGGCUAGGACUGAAAGGUUCAAUGUGUCCAAAGCCUUUCUGGAGUGCAAGCUAGCAGAAGGCGCAGCAGUAGGACCACAUGUAAUCAAGAUGGUUGGUUACACUCAGGGAUUGGAGAAGCUGGGCUUCCCAAUGGGCAAAGAGUUGGCCACUGACUUCAUUCUUUCAUCUCUUCCGCCUAGCUAUGGGAACUUCAUCUCGAACGAGAAGGGUCUGAAUGAACUGUGUGGUAUGCUCAAGACAGCAGAGGUAGACAUUAAGAAAAGCGCUAGUACCAGCCAUGUGAUGGCUGUACAGAACAAGCCUACCUUCAAGAAAAAGGGCAAUUCUUGGAAGAAGAAGGGUAAGGCUGGAGUGUCCAAGCCAAACCCAGCGCCCAAGGCUAAAGCUGGACCUGCUCCAGGUAAAGAGUGCUUUUACUGUCAUGAACUUGGUCACUGGAAGAGAAACUGCAAGCAGUACCUAGCUUCAUUGAAGAAUGGCGGAAGUAAGAGUACUUCUACCUCAGGUACGCUUGUUGUUAAUGUUAUAGACAACAUUUUUCUCGCUGAUACAAUUAUUAAUUCUUGGGUAUUUGAUACCGGAUCGGUUGCUCAUAUUUGCAAUUCGAUGCAGGGAAUGAUAAGAAGUAGAAGCGUGGAAAGAGGAGAAAUUGAUUUCCGCGUGGGCAAUAAUGCAAGAGUUGCUGCGUUGACCGUCGGGACGAUACAACUCCACCUCCCAUCAGGAUUUAUUAUGGAGUUGAAUAAUUGUUAUUUCGUUCCUAGUUUAAGUCGAAACAUUUUGUCUCCUUCGUGCUUGAUGAAGGAUGGUUAUUCAUUUACGAGUGAAAACAAUGGUUGUGUGAUCUCUAAGAAUGAUAUGUUUAUGGCUUUUGCACCCAUUGUGAAUGGAUUAUUUGUUUUAAAUCUUGAUGGUUCACCUGUCUGUAACGUAAGUGCUAAAAGGCCUCGGCCUAAUGAUUUGAGUCCUACCUACUUGUGGCAUUGUCGUUUGGGUCAUAUAAGUGAAAAGCGCAUGAAGAAGCUCCAUUCUGAUGGACUUCUAACUCCAUUUGAUUUUGAAUCAUACGAGACAUGUGAGGCUUGCUUGCUAGGCAAGAUGACCAAGACGCCUUUCACAGGAUUUCCUGAGAGAGCAGUAGACUUGUUGGAACUCGUACAUAGUGAUGUAUGCGGACCAAUGAGCACGACGGCUAGAGGAGGAUUCCAAUACUUCAUAACUUUCACUGAUGAUUUUAGUAGAUAUGGCUAUGUCUACUUGAUGAGGCACAAGUCUGAAACCUUUGAAAAGUUCAAGGAAUUUUAGAAUGAAGUUUAAAAUCAGCGUGGCAAGAAAAUUAAGGCCUUACGAUCUGAUCGUGGAGGCGAGUAUUUGAGCCACGAGUUUAGCAAUCAUCUAAAGAGUUGCGGAAUUGUUCCACAACUUACGCCGCCUGGAACACCUCAGAGAAACGGUGUAUCCGAGUGACGUAAUCGAACUUUGUUAGACAUGGUUCGAUCAAUGAUGAGCCAGUCGGACCUACCAUUGUCAUUUUGGGGAUACGCUCUAGAAACAGCAACUUUCACACUUAAUGGGGUACCAUCUAAAUCCGUAGUUAAGACACCAUAUGAGAUAUGGACUGGUAAGGUUCCUAGUUUGUCUUUUCUAAAGAUUUGGGGAUGUGAAGUGUUUGUCAAGUGACUUCAGUCGGACAAGAUCACACCCAAUUCGGAUAAGUGCAUUUUCGUGGGAUAUCCAAAGGAAACUUUUUGAUAUUAUUUCUACAACCGAUCAGAAGGCAAAGUGUUUAUCGCUCGGAACGGGGUUUUCCUAAAGAAAGAGUUUCUCAAAGGAGAAAAGAGUGGAAAGACAGUGCAUCUUGAAGAAGUUCAAGAUGAGCCGAUCGGGCAAGAAUCAAUGAGUGAUGCUAAUGUAGCAGAACAAGUUGAGAUAUCCAUGGCAAGAGAAGCACCGCCACAACCACGAAGGUCAGCAAGGCUCCGCGAAAUGCGGGAAAUAUUAUUGUUGGACAAUGAUGAGCCUGCGACAUAUGCAGAAGCAAUGAUGGACCCAGACUCCGAAAAAUGGCAGAGUGCCAUGCAAUCCGAAAUAGAGUCCAUGGGACACAAUCAAGUUUGGAACUUGGUUGACCCGCCUGAUGGUGUUAAAGCCAUAGAGUGCAAGUGGAUCUAUAAGAAGAAAAAGGACAUGGAUGGAAAUGUUCACAUCUAUAAAGCACGACUUGUCGCAAAAGGUUUUCGACAAGUUCAAGGAGUUGACUACGACGAGACCUUCUCGCCCGUAGUGAUGCUUAAGUCCAUCCAGAUUAUUCUAGCUAUAGCUGCAUAUUUCGAUUAUGAGAUAUGGCAGAUGGAUGUCAAGAAAGCUUUCCUGAAUGGAAACCUAGCUGAGGACGUGUAUAUGAUACAGCCCGAGGGUUUUGUCGAUCCGAAAAAUGCUGGAAAGGUAUGCAAGCUUCAGAGAUCCAUUUAUGGAUUGAAGCAAGCAUCUAGGAGUUGGAACAUUUGUUUUGAUGAAGUGGUCAAAGGGUUUGACUUCACCAAGAACAAAGAAGAGUCUUGUAUUUACAAGAAGGUUAGUGGGAGCUCUGUAGUAUUUCUAAUCUUAUAUGUGGAUGACAUAUUACUGAUUGGAAAUAACAUUCCUAUGCUUGAGUCCAUAAAGACUUCACUGAAAAAUAGUUUUUCAAUGAAGGACUUAGGGGAAGCGGCAUAUAUUCUGGGCAUUAAGAUCUAUAGAGAUAGAUCGAGAAGGCUUAUAGGUUUAAGCCAAGAUACUUACAUUGACAAAGUGUUGAAGCAGUUCAGCAUGGAAGAGGCAAAGAAAGGGUUCUUGCCUAUGUCACAUGGCAUACAUCUCAGCAAGACUCAGUGUCCUUCGACUGCUGAUGAGCGGGAUCGCAUGAGUAGAGUGCCAUAUGCCACGGCUAUUGGGUCUAUCAUGUAUGCAAUGAUAAGUACUCGCCCAGAUGUUUCAUAUGCGCUAAGUAUGACAAGCAAACACCAAUCUGAUCUCGGUGAGAGUCACUGGACAGCGGUGAAAAAUAUUCUAAGUACUUGAGAAGGACUAAAGAUAUGUUCCUCGUCUAUGGAGGUGAGGAGGAGCUCGUUGUAACAGGUUACACCGAUGCUAGUUUCCAAACCGACAGAGAUGAUUCAAAGUCACAAUCAGGAUUUGUGUUCACGCUAAAUGGUGGUGCUGUUAGUUGGAAGAGUUCCAAACAGGAGACGGUGGCUGAUUCUACGACAGAAGCCGAGUACAUUGCGGCUUCGGAAGCCGCAAAGGAAGGUGUUUGGAUAAGGAAUUUCCUCAUUGAGCUUGGUGUGUUCCCGAAUGCGUCUAGCCCAUUGAAUCUCUACUGUGAUAAUAAUGGGGCAAUUGCGCAAGCAAAGGAGCCAAGGAACCACCAGAAGAACAAACAUGUAAUACGGCGAUUUCAUCUCAUUCGAGACUUCGUUAACCGGGGGGAGAUCAAGAUAUGCAAAAUACACACGGAUCUGAACAUUUCUGAUCCGUUGACAAAACCACUUCCGCAGGCUUAGCAUGAUGCGCAUGUAAGAGCUAUGGGUAUUAGGUACCUUCUAGAUUGACUCUAGUGCAAGUGGGAGACUGUUGGAGGUAUGCCCUAGAGGCAAUCAUAGAGAUGAUGAUAUUCCAUUUGUAUCCAUGAUUUAUAUUGUGUUCCUUGAAUAUCCAUUAAAGGCUACUUGAAUUGAUUUGCAAUUAUGUGAAUUGUGUGUGAAACUCUUUACUUGUAUGGUUAUUCUAAAGUUAUCCCUAGUCGGAGUUCAUGUGAGGACACACAUGAAUAUUAGACUAGCACAUGUAUUAGUUGAUGACUAUGUUUCACAAGUCAUGGACAUGGAGAUGUUGAACUAAUAAUGUGGGCACAUGUGGAGACAUGUGCUAGGACUGACCCAACACGAGAAGUAGUUCUCUCUUUAAAAAACAUAUACGCUUUGUCCUUAGACCUUAGAUUGUCGCAUAUAUUCAAGAUGUGGAUCGACCUACUUAGGGGCUAUCAAACUACGCCGUAACAGGAUAGUUAUAAAGGUAGCUUUCGGGUUUGUCAAGAAGCAUGCUAUGAGACAUGGUCAAUCAAGAUGGGAUUUGCCCCUCUCUGAUUGAGAGUGAUAUCUCUGGGCCCCUCGAGUGAUCGGAUCCAAAAAUGCAUGGCCAUGCUACGUACGGUUAAGAGUUAACCUUCAAAGGGAUUCCGAAUCACAGGAUCGAGAAAGAGCGGUCGGCUUGGAACUAGACCAAAUAUCGUGAGGCAAAGGGAAUAGCAUGUAUAUAAUGUUGUGAUGGUUUGUCUGAUAUGAUCUUCGUGUGCGUAUAGGAGUUGGCACGUUUUGCUAGAGGCCGCUACUGACUAUUGGGCCGAGUAGGAGUACUCGGGCCAUGUCUAUACGUAUCCGAACCCAUAGGGUCACACAUUUAAGGGGUUGGAAGCCCAAUUCGGAUGUGAUCCGAGUUGGAUUAGGUUUAGAAGUACUAAUGGGCCUCGGACACAGAGGCCCGUUAGGAACCUCUAUAAAUAGAGGGGUGGGGGUGCCCUAGGGUUUACACCUUUUGGCGAAACUCAUCUGCCGCGCCUCCCACGCCCUCGCCUAUUCCAACUCACGGAUCUAGCAGUCCGGCUUGUGACGCUUCCUCCCUGCACGUGUGGAUACCUUGGAGGUGUUGCGCCUGCAGCACUUGGACGACUCGCCGACAAGCCACGAUGAGCCGCCGACAAGCCACGACGAGCCGCGGCACGAGGGAGAUCUUGCUGCACGUGGAGGAGCUGCUGGACGUCGACGUGAUCGACUACGUAUGACUACGUUGAUCAACUUCGCUGCAUCGACGCGAAUCUACAUCUUCCGUACCAGUAUUGCGUCGAGUGGUAAUCCCGUGAUCCUUAUACGGUAGUUUUCCUGGUUUACGCGGUAGAAUUUUUUGAUUUGUGCUAGUGUAGCCUACCUUGUAUCCCAACAGAUGAUGGGUGAGUUGACCUUCUUCCUCAGGCUGAAUCAAGCAGAGCAAGGAUGGAACCUUUGUGCACUAAGGCAAGUACACGAAGGAUAUGCUGAGGAAGUUUGACAUGGCUGACACCAAGCCAUUGUCAACUCCCAUGGCGAUGACGACAGCUUUGGAUGUGGAUGAACACGGAGAACCGGUGGACAAGAAGGAGUACUGGAGCAUGAUCGGCUCCCUUUUGUACCUGACGGCGAUGAGGCCGGACAUACACUUCGCCGUGUGUCUGUGCGCUCGUUUUCAAGCUUCACCGAGAACAUCUCACCGUUAAGCGGUAAAGAGAAUCAUGAGGUACCUUCGCUUCAUGCCUGAGUUUUGUUUGUCGUACUCUGCCUUCUCGACACUCACACUUUGUGGAUACUCCGAUGCGGAUUUUGCUGGGUGUCGGUUGGAUCACAAGUCCACUUCUGGUACCUGCAAGUUUCUUUGUUCGUCUAUGGUUUCCUAGUCUUCCUGCAAAUAGUCUAGUGUUGCUUAGUCUACUACCAAAACCGAGUAUGUUGCCGCUGCUAGUUGCUGUUCCCAGCUAAUGUGGAUGAUCUCCACUUUGAGAGACUUUGGUUUGAGUCAUUCCCACGUACCUCUCCUAUGUGACAGUACGAGUGCCAUCAUUGUAGCCAAGAAUCCUGUUCUUCACUCGAAAACCAAACACAUAGAUGUGAGAUAUCAUUUUCUGAGAGAUCAUGUUGAGAAAGGAGAUAUUGACCUUGGCCACGUUACUACCCAAAACCAAAUCGCUGAGAUCUUCACCAAACCCCUGGAUCAAGCCACUUUUGCUUGUUUGCGGGGGGAGUUGGGUGUGUGCUUUCCUUUCUGAGUUGGGUUUUGGAGCCUCUUAUGUAUUAUACUUAUAUCAUUUCUAUACAAAACAUGGUAGGAUAGCCAUCUUUUUAUGUUCACAUAUGUGAUCCUCUUAUUUAUCUUAUCAUGCGAUCUGUGUUUCUGUCGUGAUGGAUGAUUCACAUGAACAUUGUACCAUGCUUUAGCUUAGUUCUCAUCUUUGGGUAUGGCAUGAUGUUCAUGGGUCCCAUUUAUCAUAAUGCAUUUUGUAUCAUAUUGCACUAGAUGAGCUUCUCCUAUAUACCUAUGUACUCCCUUAUGCUACUUGUGAGCUAGUGCUGUGGUUGUUGAUUUUGAUGCAAUGUGCAGUUAUGCUCUUGAUGAUAGUGUCAUAUAACCAUGAUGAAAUAACUGUUUUUGGAAUCCCAUGCUAAUUCUACUCUAUGAACUUGACUUGCUUAUUGCCCAUGAGUAGAUGCUUGGUUAUGCAUUGUUUUUGCUUGAAUGCUGGUUCCAUGUUUAGCUUAUGCUUGGAAUUCAUGUUCUUUUCAAUUGGGUCAAAGACCUAGGUAUCAUUGCAAAUGUUUAGCCAAUGAUGCAUUCCUUGGGGAAGCAUGACUUCUUUGUGCCGCACAGGCACUUCAUGUACCUUGUUUUAUGUGAAUGAGAAAAAACAUGAUGGAAAGAAAAAUUGAAUAAUUCACCGAGUGUUUAUGCUUAAUGUUAAUAUCUUUGCUUUCUUAGUUGUUACAUGAUGUCUGCAAAAAUAAGUAGGCACAUGGUUUCAACAAGCUUUGACAUGACUUGUGAUGCAUAUGUGGGUGUUUGCAAUAAUCUCUUGUUGAGAAUGUAUCUUCCUUGUAUGAGCUCUAAUGGUCUAGUUUAUUCUUGCUUGGGUGAUUCAUGACUAGGUGCUUGUUCAUGUGGUGAUAUUUUUACAAAUUGGUAAAAACUUGACACAUGCUAUGCCUUAUUCUUAUAUCAUAAUAUCCUCUUGAUGGCGAUGCAAUUGCUCUUUAUGAUCUACCUGCUUCUGCAUUACCUCACUAGUAGCCUUUGUGAGUGCUUUGUGAUAUAUUUGAGAAGCUUGCUAGGUUCUGCAUCUCCAUGGCAUGCAUUUUGUGCUCUCAUGCUAUCCUUGAUGUUUGCAUUGUCAAAAAGGGGGAGAGAUUAACACAAACUCAUUUAUCUGUCAAGGGGGAGAUAUUGCAUGUAUGCAUGUUUUUAGGGGGAGUGCAUAUGUUCAGGGGGAUUUUUGUGAGCUCUUGUAUGUUCAAGAGGAGUUUCUGUGAGUUUUCAUGCUCUUGUGCCGGUCGUGUUGAGCUUUUUACCUCUUCUUGAGGAGCCGGUGUUUAAUUUGAGUUUGGAUCUUCACAUGAUUGGUGUUGAGCCCAUUCUACCUUUUCUUGAGGGAUCAUGUGAUUUUAUCUCAGUUGUGUAGAGCCUUUGCCCUUAUCUUAGGGGACUGAGAUUUUUUAUUUUAAGUUUCCUGUUUUCUUUUUCAAACUAUGAAUUUGUGUUGGGUUUUGUCAAUGCACUCAUCAAGGGGGAGAUUGAGGAUCAAUGGUGGUCACCCAUGGUUGAUGAGUCAUUGGCAACGUUGUGUUGGAAUGAUGUUGCUCUUGGCUUGUGAUGUGCAGGUGCUGGAUGCAGUGUGGCGGCCGAUGGCAUGCGGUGAAGGUCAAGUGAAAGAUUCAUGCAGAUGAACCAAGGGCGGUGAAGGGUGAAUGCGAGUAAGCUUGGACCGAAGGACUUGAGGAGUCUAGGCGGAGCCAUGGGGUCCACAUGGUGCAUGGAAGACCAAGAGAACAUGAAGGGAUGAAGACGGUGUCGGUCGAGUCAAGCGGGAUGAAAGCAAGUCAAGUAGGCGGCCCAGGAACUGGGAGUGAAAGACUUGGAGGCGUCAUAGGCUUGUUGGAGAUGAAACAUGCGUCAACAUCGAGGAGGUCACGUGGCAGCCAAGCGGAGAUGGACGGUUUGGGUGGUUUGGCCCUUAAAACCACCGUGCACGCAGGUUUCCCGGUUUAGGCCUCAAAAUCGAGGGCGAGCCCGGUGCGGCUGGAGCUUCGAGAAGGAGGGCACGUGGCAUCAUCGCGAAGCUUGCGUCGAGGUGAAGCAAAGUCAUGAAGGUAGCGUGUCCGUUCGAUGAGCGUAGAAAAACUUGAACCAAAAUGCCCCUGCGUGGGUAGUUUAGUCUAUCAUCCUAGACUAUAAAUAGGGAUGGGGGGCUGGUUAGUUCAGCACCUCUUACUUAGUAGUUUAUUUUCCUUAGAUUAGAUUCUAAUCUCUUUCUCUCUCUAGUCUCUCUCUCGAGCAGUCCUCGGUGUUGGAAUACGAGGUAGGCUACACUAGCGCAGAACAAAAAUUUUCUACCGCGUAAACCAGAAAAACUGCUGUAUAAGGAUCACGGGAUUACCACUCGAUGCACUACAGGUGCGGAAGAUGUAGAUUCACGUUGAUGCAGCGAAGUUGAUCAAUGUAGUCGUACGUAGUUGAUCACGUCGACAUCUAGCAGCUCCUCAACAGCUCGUCCACGUGCAGCAAGAUCUCCCUCGUGCCGUGGCUCAUCGUGGCUGGUCGGUGGCUCGUCCAAGUGCUGCAGGCGCAACACCUCCAAGGUAUCCACACGUGCAGGGAGGAAGUGUCGCAAGCCGGACUGCUAGAUCCGUGAGAUGCAACAGGCGAGGGCGUGGGAGGCGCGGCAGAUGAGUUUCGCCAAAAAGUGUCAACCCUAGGGUGCCCCCACCCCUCUAUUUAUAGAUGUUCCCAAUGGGCCUCUGGGUCCGAGGCCCAUUAGUACUUCUAAACCUAAUCCAACUCGGAUCACAUCCGAAUUAGGCUUCCAGCCCCUUAAGUGUGUGACCCUAUGGGUUCGGAUACGUAUAGACAUGGCCCAAGUACUCCUACUCGGCCCAAUAGUCGGCAGCGGCCUCUAGCAACACGUGCCAACUCCUAUACGCACACGAAGAUCAUAUUAGACAAACCAUCACAACAUUAUAUACAUGCUAUUCCCUUUGCCUCAUGAUAUUUGGUCUAGCUUCAAGCCGACCGCUUUUUCUCGAUCCUGUGAUUCGGAAUCCCUUUGUAGGUUAACUCUUAACCGUACGUAGCAUGGCCAUACAUUUUCGGAUCCGAUCACUCGAGGGGCCCAAAGAUAUCACUCUCAAUCAGAGAGGGGCAAAUCCCAUCUUGAUUGACCAUGUUUCAUAGCAUGCUUCUUGACAAACCCGAAAGCUACCUUUAUAACUACCCUGUUACGGCGUAGUGUUUGAUAGCCCCUAAGUAGGUCGAUCCACAUCUUAAAUACAUGCGACAAUCUCAGGUCUAAGGACAAAGCGUAUAUGUUGUUUAAAGAGAGAACUACUUCUCAUGUUGGGUCAGUCCUAGCACAUGUGUCCACAUGUGCCCACAUUAUUAGUUCAAUAUCUCCAUGUCUAUGACUUGUGAAACAUAGUCAUCAACUAAUACAUGUGCUAGUCUAAUAUUCAUGUGUGUCCUCACAUGAACUCCGACUAGGGACAACUUUAGAAUAACCAUACAAGUAAAAGAGUUUCACACACAAUUCACAUAAUUGUAAAUCAAUUCAAGUAGCCUUUAAUGGAUAUUCAAGGAACACAAUAUAAAUCAUGGAUACAAAUGAAAUAUCAUCAUCUCUAUGAUUGCCUCUAGGGCAUACCUCCAACAGUCUCCCACUUGCACUAGAGUCAAUCUAGAAGGUACCUAAUACCUAUAGCUCUUACAUGCGCAUCAUGCUUAGCCUGCGGGAGUGGUUUUAUCAACGCAUCAGAAAUGUUCAGAUCCGUGUGUGUUUUGCAUAUCUUGAUCUCACCCCGGUUAACAAAGUCGCGAAUGAGAUGAAAUCGCCGCAUUACGUGUUUGUUCUUCUGGUGGUUCCUUGGCUCCUUUGCUUGCGCAAUUGCCCCAUUGUUAUCACAGUAGAGAUUCAAUGGGCUGGAUGCAUUCGGGAACACACCAAGCUCAAUGAGGAAAUUCCUUAUCCAAACACCCUCCUUCGCGGCUCGGAAGCCGCGAUGUACUCGGCUUUUGUCGUAGAAUCGGCCACCGUCUCCUGCUUGGAACUCUUCCAACUAACAGCACCACCAUUUAGCGUGAACAAAAAUCCUGAUUGUGACUUUGAAUCAUCUCUGUCGGUUUGGAAACUAGCAUCGGUGUAACCUAUUAAAACGAGCUCCUCCUCACCUCCAUAGACGAGGAACAUAUCUUUAGUCCUUCUCAAGUACUUAAGAAUAUUUUUCACCGCUGUCCAGUGACUCUCACCUGGAUCAGAUUGGUGUUUGCUUGUCAUACUUAGCGCAUAUGAAACAUCUGGGUGAGUACUUAUCAUUGCAUACAUGAUAGACCCAAUAGCCGAGGCAUAUGGCACUCUACUCAUGCGACCCCACUCAUCAGCAGUCGAAGGACACUGAGUCUUGCUGAGAUGUAUGCCAUGUGACAUAGGCAAGAACCCUUUCUUUGCCUCUUCCAUGCUGAACUGCUUCAAUACUUUGUCAAUGUAAGUAUCUUGGCUUAAACCUAUAAGCCUUAUCGAUCUAUCUCUAUAGAUCUUAAUGCCCAGAAUAUAUGCCGCUUCCCCUAAGUCCUUCAUCAAAAAACUAUUUUUCAGUAAAGUCUUUACGAACUCAAGCAUAGGAAUGUUAUUUCCAAUCAGUAAUAUGUCAUCCACAUAUAAAAUUAGAAAUAUUACAGAGCUCCCACUAACUUUCUUGUAAACACAAGACUCUUGUUUGUUCUUGGUGAAAUCAAACCCUUUGACCACUUCAUCAAAAUGAAUGUUCCAACUCCUAGAUGCUUGCUUCGAUCCAUAAAUCAAUCUUUGAAGCUUGCAUACCUUUCCAGCAUUUUUCGGAUCGACAAAACCCUCCGGCUGUAUCAUAUACACGUCCUCAGCUAGGUUUCCAUUUACGGAAGUUGUCUUGACAUCCAUCUGCCAUAUCUCAUAAUCGAAAUAUGCAGCUAUUGCUAGAAUAAUCCGAACGGACUUAAGCAUCACUACGGGCGAGAAAGACUCGUUGUAGUCAACUCCUUGAACUUGUCGAAAACCUUUUGCAACAAGUCGUGCUUUAUAGAUGUGAACAUUUCCAUCCAUGUCCUUUUUAUUCUUAUAGAUCCACUUGCACUCUAUGGCUUUAACACCAUCAGGCGGGUCAACCAAGUUCCAAACUUGAUUGUCAACCAAGAUGCACUGUCUUUCCACUCUUUUCUCCUUUGAGAAACUCUUUCUCUAGGAAAACCCCAUUCCGAGCGACAAACACUUUGCCGUCUGACCGGUUGUAGAAAUAAUAUCCCAAAGUUUCCUUUGGAUAUCCCACGAAAAUGCACUUAUCUAACUUGGGUGUGAUCUUGUCGGACUGAAGUCGCUUGACAAACACUUCACAUCCCCAAAUCUUUAGAAAAGACAAACUAGGAACCUUUCCAGUCCACAUCUCAUAUGGUGUCUUAACUACGGAUUUAGAUGGUACCCUAUUAAGUGUGAAAGCUGCUGUUUCUAGAGCGUAUCCCCAAAAUGACAAUAGUAGGUUCGACUGGCUCAUCAGUGAUCGAAGCAUGUCUAACAAAGUUUGAUUACGUCGCUCGGAUACACCGUUUCUCUGAGGUGUUCCAGGCGGCGUAAGUUGUGGAACAAUUCCGCAACUCUUUAGAUGAUUGCUAAACUCAUGGCUCAAAUACUUGCCUCCACGAUCAGAUCGUAAGGCCUUAAUUUUCUUGCCACGCUGAUUUUCAACUUCAUUCUGAAAUUCCUUGAACUUUUCAAAGGUUUCGGACUUGUGCCUCACCAAGUAGACAUACCCAUAUCUACUAAAAUCAUCAGUGAAAGUUAUGAAGUAUUGGAAUCCUCCUCUAGCCGUCGUGCUCAUUGGUCCGCAUACAUCACUAUGUACGAGUUCCAACAAGUCUACUGCUCUCUCAGGAAAUCCUGUGAAAGGCGUCUUGGUCACCUUGCCUAGCAAGCAAGCCUCACAUGUCUCGUAUGAUUCAAAAUCAAAUGAAGUUAGAAGUCCAUCAGAAUGGAGCUUCUUCAUGCACUUUUCACUCAUAUGACCCAAACGACAAUGCCAUAAGUAGGUAGGACUCUAAUCAUUAGGCUGAGGCCUUUUAGCACUUACGUUACAGACAGGUGAACCAUCAAGAUUUAAAACAAAUAAUCCAUUCACAAUGGGUGCAAAAGCCAUAAACAUAUCAUUCUUAGAGAUCACACAACCAUUGUUUUCACUCGCAAAUGAAUAACCAUCCUUCAUCAAGCAUGAAGGAGACAAAAUGUUUCGACUUAAACUAGGAACGAAAUAACGAUUAUUCAACUCCAUAAUAAAUCCUGAUAGGAGGUGGAGUUGCAUCGUCCCGACGGUCAACGCAGCAACUUCUCCUCUUUCCACGCUUCUACUUCUUAUCAUUCCCUGCAUCGAAUUGCAAAUAUGAGCAACCGAUCCGAUAUCAAAUACCCAAGAAUUAAUAAUUGUAUCAGCGAGAAAUAUGUUGUUUAUAACAUUAACAACAAGCGUACCUGAGGUAGAACUACUCUUACUUCCGUCAUUCUUCAACGAAGCUAGGUACUGCUUGCAGUUCCUCUUCCAGUGACCAGGUUCGUGACAAUAAAAGCACUCUUUAUCUGGAGCAGGUCCAGCUUUAGCCUUGGGCGCUGGGUUUGGCUUGGACGUUCCAGCCUUACCCUUCUUCUUCCAAGAAUUGCCCUUCUUCUUGAAGGUAGGCUUGUUCUGUACAGCCAUCACAUGGCUGGUACUAGCGCUUUUCUUAAUGUCUACCUCUGCUGUCUUGAGCAUACCACACAGUUCAUUCAAACCCUUCUCCGUCCCAUGCAUAUGGUAGUUCGAGAUGAAGUUCCCAUAGCUAGGCGGAAGAGAUGAAAGAAUGAAGUCAGUGGCCAACUCUUUGCCCAUUGGGAAGCCCAGCUUCUCCAAUCGCUGAGUGUAACCAACCAUCUUGAUUACAUGUGGUCCUACUGCUGUGCCUUCUGCUAGCUUGCACUCCAGAAAGGCUUUGGACACAUUGAACCUUUCAGUCCUAGCCUAUGUCUGGAACAUGUCCUUGAGCGCCACGAUCAUAUCGUGUGACUCAUGAUUUGUUUCAAACUGCAUCUGCAGCUCGGGUUCCAUGCAAGCAAGCACAAGGCAGCUUACCUCAAGAUUAGCAUCAAAUGCCUUCUUGUAAGCAGCCUUACCGGCAGCAAAUGCAUCAUCAGCAGGUACUGGUGGUAGUGGGGUGUCUAGAACAUCUUCCUUUUUAUCGGCCCUGAGAAUAAUUCUCAGGUUACGUAUCCAAUCCAAGUAGUUUGUUCCAUUCAACUUGUCCUUCUCAAGGACCGAACGCAAAACAAACGGUGUGGUGUUGCUGGGUGCCAUUUAAUCUACAACAAAAGUAAUGCAAAAUACACUAAGACAAACGUAUCCAUGAUAGAGCAAAUCACGUUAAACUAUUUUAAUAGAAUCUACUCCCACUAAAAUCAAUAUCCCUCUAUUGAUACUUAGUGAUUCAGGAUCCACAACUAACAAGUCUACUAGUGAGCUUUAGCAUCACCGCUAGCAAACAAGGUAGAUCGAUAAGCAACUUCUUGCUAAUCAUAUCACAUAUGACUCCUGUUGUUGGGUGACAUCUCCAUGUCUCGGCACCCAACCUUUAUGCCCCAAGGUCCUUAACCGUUAAGUUAACCUUGUUAAGCAAACCAACCCUUAUGCGUGUAAGUGUCCGACACAAACCCGUCUAGUCUAGGAAAACUAGUGGCACCCUAAUUUCAUAGACCCACCGCUAAUUGUACAAAACAUGGGACGGUGCAAGUUUUAGUUGGGAGGGCAUACUAACUUAAACUUUGUAAGGGAUCGUUCUACUUCUACCAUCACAGCAUGCAGAAAGUAAAACAUAAACAGAAUGGCAUUCACACAGUUGUGACACAGUAUGGCCCGUUUUCUUAUGGUGAUCUCCAUCUCCAUAGAACCUGUUCACCAUGGUGAUCUCCAUCUCCAUGUUCCAUGUGCGCCAUCCUCCUGGUGAUGAGUCCUCCAAGAACUAGAACAUGCUAUUACGCCUAAUAGCUAGUAAAGAAGCUAGUCAUGAAGAUUACAUAGUUGCUUGGAUCAUCACAGAUUGGUACGCAGACCAUUAAAUACAUUAAGGUGACAACACAUAUGGCUCCUGCCGUGUUGUCGUACGCGCGACAUGCAGGUCACGAAUGAGUUACACACAUGCAUCACAUACACAAAGGGGCCAUAUUGAUCACAAGAUACAUACAUACAUCCUGCAAAACAGAGUUAAGCGUCCUAACGUUCCGAACUUCGGAUGCCCGAAACUCCAUCUUCCAAGCCAAAUUUGGGAAAUCUAAUUUCGCUGGAAAUGGAAAAGCCAUUGAAUUUCAUGUGUAACUUUUUCUGUAGAUCAAUUUUUAUAUAAAAUUUACCCCAAUCUGAGAUCGUACCGAAAAGUUACGGCUGAUUUACCGAAGCAUACGCACACGGCAAAAAUCCCGACCCCGGUAGUAGAUCCCAUCUACUAUUGCACAUCUCAUGCGACUGGUGUAUGAACCUGGAUUUUGAUUCGACCAAUCAGAUUGUUCUUCGCUCACUGCAACUGGAAUUACGUGUAUCACUUAACUCCGAUGGCGGAAACCGACUGGUAGGAGUAUGUCGUUACACUACCAUUGCAGCAAGAACACGAAACCAGGACAUAGAUCAAACUGAAAACUCACAUAUCUCCAUAUGCACACAUCCCAAAUCCAAAACAAAGCAGCUACGGCUCUGAUACCACUCUUGGGAUACGGGGUAGGCUACACUAGCGCAAAACAAAAAUUUUCUACCGCGUAAACUAGGAAAACUGCCGUAUAAGGAUCACGGGAUUACCACUCGACGCACUACUAGUGCGGAAGAUGUAGAUUCACGUCGAUGCAGCGAAGUUGAUCAACGUACUCAUACGUAGUCGAUCACAUCGACGUCAGGGUGGAAUCGUUGCAAGCCGGACUGCUAGAUCCGUCAGUUGCAACAGGCGAGGGCGUGGGAGGCGCGGCAGAUUUGUUUCGCCAAAAAGUGUCAACCCUAGGGCGCCCCCACCCCUCUAUUUAUAGAGGAUCCCAACGGGCCUCUGAAUCCGAGGCCCAUUAGUACUUCUAAACCUAAUCCAACUCGGAUCACAUCCGAAUUGGGCUUCCAGCCCCUUAAGUGUGCGACCCUAUGGGUUCGGAUACGUAUAGACAUGGCUCGAGUACUCCUACUCGGCCCAAUAGUUGGUAGCGGCCUCUAGCAAGACGUGCCAACUCCUAUACGCACACGAAGAUCAUAUCAGAUGAACCAUCACAACAUUAUAUACAUGCUAUUCCCUUUUCCUCACGAUAUUUGGUCUAGCUUCAAGCCGACCGCUCUUUCUCGAUCCUGUGAUUCAGAAUCACUUUGUAGGUUAACUCUUAACCGUACGUAGCAUGGCCAUGCUUUUUCGGAUCCGAUCACUCGAGGGGCCUAGAGAUAUCACUCUCAAUCAGAGAGGGGCAAAUCUCUUCUUGAUUGACCAUGUCUCAUAGCAUGCUUCUUGACAAACCCGAAAGCUACCUUUAUAACUACCCUGUUACGGCGUAGCGUUUGAUAGCCCCUAAGUAGGUCGAUCCACAUCUUGAAUACAUGCGACAAUCUCAGGUCUAAGGACAAAGCAUAUAUGUUGUUUAAAGAGAGAACUACUUCUCGUGUUGGGUCAGUCCUAGCACAUGUCUCCACAUGUGCCCACAUUAUUAGUUCAACAUCUCCAUGUCUAUGACUUGUGAAACAUAGUCAUCAACAUUAACAUGUGCUAGUCUAAUAUUCAUGUGUGUCCUCACAUGAACUCCGACUAGGGACAACUUUAGAAUAACCAUACAAGUAAAAGAGUUUCACACACAAUUCACAUAAUUGUAAAUCAAUUCAAGUAGCCUUUAAUAGAUAUUCAAGGAACACAAUAUAAAUCAUGGAUACAAAUGGAAUAUCGUCAUCUCUAUGAUUGCCUCUAGGGCAUACCUCCAACACUCGUAUGAUUUGAGCACCGAAUCCGUUUAUUGAACCGAAGUUUGUUGCAAGAAUGGAGGCCCUAACCUUCUCGUGUCCUCCUGGAUUUGGGUGAUGAUUUCUUUGUGCAAUUCCCAUUUGUGUUCUUCGCGUUCUUGUUUCUUCCUCUCCACUCCCUCUCACAUUUUUGUUUGAUUCGUGAUUUGUGGGAUGCUUUGAGUCAAACCGAUUGUUUUGAAAUGAACUAGGACAUGAGUUGAACCUUUCCACCGAAGGAAUUUGAUUGAAAUCUCACGAGUUCAUAGAUCGGGGCGAUUAAAUUUUCAGAGUUGAAAAAGUGGUGUUCUUCACGAGAUUUGAUUUUACCGUUGAUUGACAAAUCUUUGAGCGAUAAUCUCUUAGGAGUAGCUUCACUACUGCUUUGUGAUACUUUGGUUCAUUUUUUAUAGUAGUUGGUGCUGAUUUGGUCAUGAAUCGGGUGAAUUUGUGUUCGUAGUACUGGUGGCGUUUCUGUGAAGGAUUCUGUCCUGCAGAAUACAGAUCAUCCAACCCUAAGUAGCGGGCUGUCUGCUUAGUCCGGACCGUCAGGACCUUCUGCCUGGAUAGUCCGGUAUCGGUCCGCAGAACAGUUAGAGAUUGUUCAGCAGUCUGCAAGGUGCUAGUGUCAAGGUUUUGGCUUGGUUUUUUCUUGAGGAUCCUGUUGUGUCUAUUGGGCAUUACCAUAGGCAUCUAGCCACCUAGUUGGCUUAUGGAUCUCUCCUCAUCCGCUCGUUUGGUUUUGGGGUUUGUUUUCGGGACAGUGGCCUAAACUUUCAAAAGAAUUUUUAGAGGCUCCCAUUCACCGCCCCCUCUAGUCGCCGUUUUGGUCCUUCAAAGUUAGAAAGAUUUCAAACAAGUGACACACAACAUCAAAAGAAAGCUGAGUACAAUCUUACCGGUGUAGGCGACCAUCUCCUCAACGAAAAGGCCUUGGGGGCGUCCCUAUUACUGACCUCACCCUUGAAGAUCUCGGACACCUAGUGAAAAAUUUCCUCAUCGGACACCUCGCCAGAGACCUCUAGGGUCGGAUCAUUCAGCCUGAGUACUCAUAUGAUGGAUGUACUCAGUAUUUGAUCAGCUGUGUUGCCCUUUGAUAGAAAUUGAUGCUUAUGGCCACGGGUGUCAGUCCUCGCACCUUCAGGUCGGCGAUCUUCACCAAUAGCUUGUCUACACUGACCUGUUCUUCCGAGGUCGGUAGAUUUUGCCACUCAGCUACUGACACUGGCCCAUAACCCGUACGCAGUGGCAGCUCGGGCUUCUGAUUAGCGAUAAGAAAACACUCAGCGUGCCACCCCUUGUGGGAAUCCUUCAGUUAAAGGUCAAAGUACUCAUGCACCUGUUGGGAUACGAGGUAGGCUAUGCUAGCGCAAAAUAAAAAAUUUUGUACCACGUAAACCAGGAAAAACUGCCAUUAUAGAUCACAGGAUUAUCACUCGACACACAGGUGCGGAAGUUGUAGAUACGUGUUGGGGCAGCAAAGUCGAUCACACGUCGACGCAGUGUAGUUGAACAUGGUGACGUCGAGCAGCUCGUCCACGUGCAGCCACUCCCUCCUGGUGCCACGGCUUGUCAGGCUCGUCGUCGACUUGUCAGGUUCCUCGUCGGAGUUCUCGUGCGGCGGCUCGUCCAAGUGCUGCAGAUGCAACACCUCCAAGUUAUCCACAUGUGCGGGGAGGAAGCAUCUCAAGCUGGACUGCUAGGUUCAUGAGUUGCAACAAGGCGAGGGUGUGGGAGGUGCUGCUGCUGCUAGUGCGAAAAGCGAUUCCACCCUAGGGUGCCCCCCACCCCUCAAUAUAUAGGGGUUCCUAAUGGGCCUCUGGGUCUAAGUCUCAUUAGUACUCCUAAACCUUAUCCAAUUCAGAUCACAUCAGAAUUGGGCUUCCAGCCCUUUAAGUGUGUGACCCUAUAGGUUCAUAUACAUAUAGACAUGGCCCGAGUACUCCUACUCGGCCAAUAGUUAGUAGCGGCCUCUAGCAAAGACAUACUAAAUCCUAUGUGCACACGAAGAUCACAUCAGACGAACCACCACAACAUCACGUACAUGCUAUUCCCUUUGCCUCACGAUAUUUGGUCUAGCUCCAAGCCGACCACUCUUUCUCGAUGCUGAGAUUCGAAAUCUCUUUCUAGGUUAACUCUUAACCUCACGUAGCAUGGCCAUGCAUUUUCAGAUCCGAUCACUCGAGGGGCCCAGAGAUAUCUCUCUCAAAUAGAGAGCGGCAAAUUCCAUCUUGACUGCCCAUGCCUCACAGCAUGUUUCUUGACAAACCUGAAAGCUACCUUUAUAACUACCCAGUUAUGGUGCAGCGUUUGAUAGCCCCUAAGUAAGUCGAUCAACAUCUUGAGUACAUGCGACAAUCUCAGGUCUAAGGACAAAGCGUACACGUUGUGUAAAGAGAGAACUAUGUAACUCGCGUUGGGUCGGUCCUACAACAUGUCUCUACACGUGCCCACAUUAUUAGUUUGACAUCUCCAUGUCCAUGACUUGUGAAACAUAGUCAUCAACUAAUACAUGUGCUAGUCUAACAUUCAUGCGUGUCCUCACAUGAACUCCGACUAGGGACAACUUUUAGAAUAACCAUACAAGUAAAGAGAUUCACACACAAUUCACAUAAUUGCAAAUCAGUUCAAGUAGCCUUUAGUGGAUAUUCAAGGAACACAAUAUAUAACAUGGAUACAAUGGAAUAUCAUCAUCUCUAUGAUUGCCUAUAGGGCAUACCUCCAACAGCACCCUCUUGGGGUGCAAUGAGAAUCCAGGCCCCCCCAAUAACCUAAUCUUUUUUCCCUUGGUCACUACGGGUUUCAGUUGAUAAAAAUAAUGCCACAAAUGAAAAUGGGGGGGGGGUGCCAAAAAAAGCUUCGCACAGAUGGAGAAAAAUAGAUAUGUCCAAGAUCGAGUUUGGUUUUAAGGGUACCAACUCAAUCUUGUAGUAGUUGAGGAGGUUGCAGAAGAAAUCUUCAGUGGGGAUCCUGAAUCCGCGCUCGAAGAACGGCAUGAACACCACCACCUUUGCCGUGUCCUCCGACGUGAACUCCUGACUGGCAGUAGGCUUGGAGUCGAGCAGCGCUUGUGGACCAAGGAGCCCACGGUAGAUAAGGGACUGGAUCCACUCCUGCGUCACCAUGCUCUUCAUCCACACCGAGGAAGGCAUCAGAGCAUUGGGCUGCGCCAUUGCUUUGCGAUCUUGUGAUUUGGAUCUAAAGAGAACUAGGGUUUUGUUGUGCAUAAAGUGGCGCAGCAGCUCAGGUGACGGCGGUGGCGGCACGUGCACAAGAGGAAUGCGGAAUGUAGAGGUGCAACCUAGGGUUCGCGAGUGCGGCGGCGUAGUGCUCAGUGAGCUCGAGGUGGAGGCGCUGCAAGAGGUUGAGGAUAAGAGUGACAACAGCUCUGUGCCCCUCAUGCUUUUAAGGAGAUGACAGCAUGAGUCACGGACGGAAAAGGUAGGCCUUCCGUUAGCACGGCGCAAUAUGCCAGGCUAAAUUUUUGGAUCCUCCCGUUAACGCCAUGCGCAAGAUGCGCAUGGGAAGGAAUGUCCAGGAUAUUCGUCGCAUUUUUAACGGCAUGCCUUUGUGGCUCUGCCAGUCCUCACCCUCAGAGGCUUGGCGCCUAAUUCUACUUAGGGCACCUUUGUGGCUCUGCCAGUCCUCACCCUCGGGGGCCUAGCGCCUAAUUCUACUCGGCGUGCCUCUGUGGCUCUGCCAGUCCUCACCCUCGGGGGCUAGGCUCUUAAAUCUACUCGACACGCCUCUGCGGCUCUGCCAGUCCUCACCCUCAGGGGCUGGGUGCCUAAUUCUACUCGGUGUGCCUCUACGGCUCUACCAGUCCUCACCCUCGGGGGGUGGGAACCUAAUUCUACUCGGCGCGCCUCCACGGCUCUACUAGUCCUCACCCUCAGGGGCUGGGCGCCUAUUUCUACUUGGCAUGCCUCCAUGGCUCCGCUAGUCCUCGUCUUCGGAAGCUACGCGCCUAUUUCUACUUGGAUAGCCUACGCGGCACAACUAGUUCACAACCUCAGGGACUAGCUUCCCAGUCUCAACACAGCACAUCUCUACGGCCUCAUAAAACACCGGAAUUAGACGCAAAGGCAUGUUUUCAAUCAGCUGAAAUCAAAUUCCCAGCAUUACAUAUUACAAAAGACUAUGAACAGCUCUAGGAUAGACGAUAUCCCAGGAUAAGAAGCUACAAUGCAGAAAAAGAAAAAAGCACAAUACAAGAAAGCUGUGCUUCAAGCUUCCUUGCCGGUGUCCUGGACAAAGUUGAGAGGGUUCACGAUACAGCAUCCUCACGAGGAUUCUUCUAGCAUCGCUACCUCCCAACUCUACCGCAGAGACUGCGAAGGGAAGGAGCAUCUGGGUGUUCUUCACUAGAAUUUUUCUGGCAUCAGGCUUUUGAGUGGAUGCCACUCCUAUAAAAAACUACAAGUUUCAAAGUUACAAGUGCUAUAACUCAAGCCAUGACUGUCCAAGAUGAAUGAUGGGCCUAUUUAUAGCCAGACUACCAGCUAGCAUCCAAGACGCUACAGUAAAACCUAUUGGAGGUAUGCCUUAGAGGCAAUCAUAGAGAUGAUGAUAUCUGAUUGUAUCCAUGAUUUGUAUAUUGUGUUCAUUGAAUAUCCAUUAAAGGCUACUUGAAUUGAUCUGCAAUUAUGUGAAUUGUAUGUGGAACUCUUUACUUGUAUGGUUAUUCUAAAAGUUGUCCCUAGUCGGAGUUCAUGUGUGGACACACAUGAAUAUUAGACUAGUACAUGUAUUAGUUGAUGACUAUGCUUCACAAGUCAUGGAUAUGGAGAUGUCAAACUAAUAAUGUAGGCAUAUGUAGAGACAUGUGCUAGGACUGACCCAACGCGAGAAGUUGUUCUCUCUUUACACAACAUGUAUGCUUUGUCCUUAGACCUAAGAUUGUCGCAUGUACUCAAGAUGUGGAUCGACUAACUUAGGGGCUAUCAAACGCUACAUCGUAAUAGGGUAGUUAAAAAGGUAGCUUUCGGGUUUGUCAGGAAGCAUGCUGUGAGGCAUGGUCAAUCAAGAUGGGAUUUGCCCCUCUCUGAUUGAGACUGAUAUCUCUGGGCCCCUCGAGUAAUCAGAUCCGAAAAUGCAUGGCCAUGGUACGUACGGUUAAGAGUUAACCUACAAGGGAUUCCAAAUCACAGGAUCGAGAAAGAGCGGUCAGCUUGAAGCUAGACCAAAUAUCGUGAGGCAAAGGGAAUAGCAUGUACAUGAUGUUGUGACGGUUCGUCUGAUAUGAUCUUCGUGUGCGUAUAGGAGUUGGCACAUCUUGCUAGAGGCCGCUACCGACUAUUGGGCUGAGUAGGAGUACUCGGGCCAUGUCUAUACGUAUCCGAACCCAUAGGGUCACACACUUAAGGGGUUGGAAUCCCAAUUUGAAUAUGAUCUGAGUUUGAUCAGGUUUAGAAGUACUAAUGGGCCUCGGACCCAGAGGCCCGUCAGGAACCUCUAUAAAUAGAGGGGUGGGGCGCCCUAGGGUUUCAUCCCAUUGGCCGAAAACACAUCUGUCGCGCCUCACAUGCCCUAACCCUAUUGCAGCUCGUGGACCUAGCAAUCGGGCUUGUGACGCUUCCUCCCUGCACGUGUGGAUACCUUAGAGGUGUUGCACCUGCAGCACUUGGACGAGCCGCGAUGAGCCGUCGACGAGCCGAUGACGAGCCGUGGCACGAGGACGACCUUGCUGCAUGUGGAUGAGCUGCUGAGGAGCUGCUUGACAUCGACGUGAUCGACUACGUGUUCGACUACGCUGAUCGACUUCGCUGCCCCGAUGCGAUUCUACUAUUGGAGGUAUGCCCAGGAGGCAAUCAUAGAGAUGAUGAUAUUCCAUUUGUAUCCAUGAUUUAUACUGUGCCCCUUGAAUAUAUCCAUUAAAGGCUACUUGAAUUGAUCUGCAAUUAUGUGAAUUAUAUGUGGAACUCUUUACUUGUAUGGUUAUUCUAAAGUUGUCCCUAGUCGGAGUUCAUGUGUGGACACACAUGAAUAUUAGACUAGUACAUGUAUUAGUUGAUGACUAUGCUUCACAAGUCAUGCAUAUGGAGAUGUCAAACUAAUAAUGUAUCCAUAUGUAGAGACAUGUGCUAGGACUGACCCAACGCGAGAAGUUGUUCUCUCUUUACACAACAUGUAUGCUUUGUCCUUAGACCUAAGAUUGUCGCAUGUACUCAAGAUGUGGAUCGACUAACUUAGGGGCUAUCAAACGCUACAUCGUAACAGGGUAGUUAAAAAGGUAGCUUUCGGGUUUGUCAGGAAGCAUGCUGUGAGGCAUGGUCAAUCAAGAUGGGAUUUGCCCCUCUCUGAUUGAGACUGAUAUCUCUGGGCCCCUCGAGUAAUCAGAUCCGAAAAUGCAUGGCCAUGGUACGUACGGUUAAGAGUUAACCUACAAGGGAUUCCAAAUCACAGGAUCGAGAAAGAGCGGUCAGCUUGAAGCUAGACCAAAUAUCGUGAGGCAAAGGGAAUAGCAUGUACAUGAUGUUGUGACGGUUUGUCUGAUAUGAUCUUCGUGUGCGUAUAGGAGUUGGCACAUCUUGCUAGAGGCCGCUACCGACUAUUGGGCUGAGUAGGAGUACUCGGGCCAUGUCUAUACGUAUCCGAACCCAUAGGGUCACACACUUAAGGGGUUGGAAUCCCAAUUUGAAUAUGAUCUGAGUUUGAUCAGGUUUAGAAGUACUAAUGGGCCUCGGACCCAGAGGCCCGUCAGGAACCUCUAUAAAUAGAGGGGUGGGGCACCCUAGGGUUUCAUCCCAUUGGCCGAAAACACAUCUGUCGCGCCUCACAUGCCCUAACCCUAUUGCAGCUCGUGGACCUAGCAAUCGGGCUUGUGACGCUUCCUCCCUGCACGUGUGGAUACCUUAGAGGUGUUGCACCUGCAGCACUUGGACGAGCCGCGAUGAGCCGUCGACGAGCCGAUGACGAGCCGUGGCACGAGGACGACCUUGCUGCAUGUGGAUGAGCUGCUGAGGAGCUGCUUGACAUCGACGUGAUCGACUACGUGUUCGACUACGCUGAUCGACUUCGCUGCCCCGAUGCGAUUCUACUAUUGGAGGUAUGCCCAGGAGGCAAUCAUAGAGAUGAUGAUAUUCCAUUUGUAUCCAUGAUUUAUACUGUGCUCCUUGAAUAUCCAUUAAAGGCUACUUGAAUUGAUCUACAAUUAUGUGAAUUAUAUGUGGAACUCUUUACUUGUAUGGUUAUUCUAAAGUUGUCCCUAGUCGGAGUUCAUGUGUGGACACACAUGAAUAUUAGACUAGUACAUGUAUUAGUUGAUGACUAUGCUUCACAAGUCAUGGAUAUGGAGAUGUCAAACUAAUAAUGUAGGCAUAUGUAGAGACAUGUGCUAGGACUGACCCAACGCGAGAAGUUGUUCUCUCUUUACACAACAUGUAUGCUUUGUCCUUAGACCUAAGAUUGUCGCAUGUACUCAAGAUGUGGAUCGACUAACUUAGGGGCUAUCAAACGCUACAUCGUAACAGGGUAGUUAAAAAGGUAGCUUUCGGGUUUGUCAGGAAGCAUGCUGUGAGGCAUGGUCAAUCAAGAUGGGAUUUGCCCCUCUCUGAUUGAGACUGAUAUCUCUGGGCCCCUCGAGUAAUCAGAUCCGAAAAUGCAUGGCCAUGGUACGUACAGUUAAGAGUUAACCUACAAGGGAUUCCAAAUCACAGGAUCGAGAAAGAGCGGUCAGCUUGAAGCUAGACCAAAUAUCGUGAGGCAAAGGGAAUAGCAUGUACAUGAUGUUGUGACGGUUCGUCUGAUAUGAUCUUCGUGUGCGUAUAGGAGUUGGCACAUCUUGCUAGAGGCCGCUACCGACUAUUGGGCUGAGUAGGAGUACUCGGGCCAUGUCUAUACGUAUCCGAACCCAUAGGGUCACACACUUAAGGGGUUGGAAUCCCAAUUUGAAUAUGAUCUGAGUUUGAUCAGGUUUAGAAGUACUAAUGGGCCUCGGACCCAGAGGCCCGUCAGGAACCUCUAUAAAUAGAGGGGUGGGGCGCCCUAGGGUUUCAUCCCAUUGGCUGAAAACACAUCUGUCGCGCCUCACAUGCCCUAACCCUAUUGCAGCUCGUGGACCUAGCAAUCGGGCUUGUGACGCUUCCUCCCUGCACGUGUGGAUACCUUAGAGGUGUUGCACCUGCAGCACUUGGACGAGCCACGAUCAGCCGUCGACGAGCCGAUGACGAGCCGUGGCACGAGGACGACCUUGCUGCAUGUGGAUGAGCUGCUGAGGAGCUGCUUGACAUCGACGUGAUCGACUACGUGUUCGACUACGCUGAUCGACUUCGCUGCCCCGAUGCGAUUCUACUAUUGGAGGUAUGCCCAGGAGGCAAUCAUAGAGAUGAUGAUAUUCCAUUUGUAUCCAUGAUUUAUACUGUGCUCCUUGAAUAUCCAUUAAAGGCUACUUGAAUUGAUCUACAAUUAUGUGAAUUAUAUGUGGAACUCUUUACUUGUAUGGUUAUUCUAAAGUUGUCCCUAGUCGGAGUUCAUGUGUGGACACACAUGAAUAUUAGACUAGUACAUGUAUUAGUUGAUGACUAUGCUUCACAAGUCAUGGAUAUGGAGAUGUCAAACUAAUAAUGUAGGCAUAUGUAGAGACAUGUGCUAGGACUGACCCAACGCGAGAAGUUGUUCUCUCUUUACACAACAUGUAUGCUUUGUCCUUAGACCUAAGAUUGUCGCAUGUACUCAAGAUGUGGAUCGACUAACUUAGGGGCUAUCAAACGCUACAUCGUAACAGGGUAGUUAAAAAGGUAGCUUUCGGGUUUGUCAGGAAGCAUGCUGUGAGGCAUGGUCAAUCAAGAUGGGAUUUGCCCCUCUCUAAUUGAGACUGAUAUCUCUGGGCCCCUCGAGUAAUCAGAUCCGAAAAUGCAUGGCCAUGGUACGUACAGUUAAGAGUUAACCUACAAGGGAUUCCAAAUCACAGGAUCGAGAAAGAGCGGUCAGCUUGAAGCUAGACCAAAUAUCGUGAGGCAAAGGGAAUAGCAUGUACAUGAUGUUGUGACGGUUCGUCUGAUAUGAUCUUCGUGUGCGUAUAGGAGUUGGCACAUCUUGCUAGAGGCCGCUACCGACUAUUGGGCUGAGUAGGAGUACUCGGGCCAUGUCUAUACGUAUCCGAACCCAUAGGGUCACACACUUAAGGGGUUGGAAUCCCAAUUUGAAUAUGAUCUGAGUUUGAUCAGGUUUAGAAGUACUAAUGGGCCUCGGACCCAGAGGCCCGUCAGGAACCUCUAUAAAUAGAGGGGUGGGGCGCCCUAGGGUUUCAUCCCAUUGGCUGAAAACACAUCUGUCGCGCCUCACAUGCCCUAACCCUAUUGCAGCUCGUGGACCUAGCAAUCGGGCUUGUGACGCUUCCUCCCUGCACGUGUGGAUACCUUAGAGGUGUUGCACCUGCAGCACUUGGACGAGCCACGAUCAGCCGUCGACGAGCCGAUGACGAGCCGUGGCACGAGGACGACCUUGCUGCAUGUGGAUGAGCUGCUGAGGAGCUGCUUGACAUCGACGUGAUCGACUACGUGUUCGACUACGCUGAUCGACUUCGCUGCCCCGAUGCGAUUCUACUAUUGGAGGUAUGCCCAGGAGGCAAUCAUAGAGAUGAUGAUAUUCCAUUUGUAUCCAUGAUUUAUACUGUGCUCCUUGAAUAUCCAUUAAAGGCUACUUGAAUUGAUCUGCAAUUAUGUGAAUUAUAUGUGGAACUCUUUACUUGUAUGGUUAUUCUAAAGUUGUCCCUAGUCGGAGUUCAUGUGUGGACACACAUGAAUAUUAGACUAGUACAUGUAUUAGUUGAUGACUAUGCUUCACAAGUCAUGGAUAUGGAGAUGUCAAACUAAUAAUGUAGGCAUAUGUAGAGACAUGUGCUAGGACUGACCCAACGCGAGAAGUUGUUCUCUCUUUACACAACAUGUAUGCUUUGUCCUUAGACCUAAGAUUGUCGCAUGUACUCAAGAUGUGGAUCGACUAACUUAGGGGCUAUCAAACGCUACAUCGUAACAGGGUAGUUAAAAAGGUAGCUUUCGGGUUUGUCAGGAAGCAUGCUGGGAGGCAUGGUCAAUCAAGAUGGGAUUUGCCCCUCUCUGAUUGAGACUGAUAUCUCUGGGCCCCUCGAGUAAUCAGAUCCGAAAAUGCAUGGCCAUGGUACGUACGGUUAAGAGUUAACCUACAAGGGAUUCCAAAUCACAGGAUCGAGAAAGAGCGGUCAGCUUGAAGCUAGACCAAAUAUCGUGAGGCAAAGGGAAUAGCAUGUACAUGAUGUUGUGACGGUUCGUCUGAUAUGAUCUUCGUGUGCGUAUAGGAGUUGGCACAUCUUGCUAGAGGCCGCUACCGACUAUUGGGCUGAGUAGGAGUACUCGGGCCAUGUCUAUACGUAUCCGAACCCAUAGGGUCACACACUUAAGGGGUUGGAAUCCCAAUUUGAAUAUGAUCUGAGUUUGAUCAGGUUUAGAAGUACUAAUGGGCCUCGGACCCAGAGGCCCGUCAGGAACCUCUAUAAAUAGAGGGGUGGGGCGCCCUAGGGUUUCAUCCCAUUGGCUGAAAACACAUCUGUCGCGCCUCACAUGCCCUAACCCUAUUGCAGCUCGUGGACCUAGCAAUCGGGCUUGUGACGCUUCCUCCCUGCACGUGUGGAUACCUUAGAGGUGUUGCACCUGCAGCACUUGGACGAGCCACGAUGAGCCGUCGACGAGCCGAUGACGAGCCGUGGCACGAGGACGACCUUGCUGCAUGUGGAUGAGCUGCUGAGGAGCUGCUUGACAUCGACGUGAUCGACUACGUGUUCGACUACGCUGAUCGACUUCGCUGCCCCGAUGCGAUUCUACUAUUGGAGGUAUGCCCAGGAGGCAAUCAUAGAGAUGAUGAUAUUCCAUUUGUAUCCAUGAUUUAUACUGUGCUCCUUGAAUAUCCAUUAAAGGCUACUUGAAUUGAUCUACAAUUAUGUGAAUUAUAUGUGGAACUCUUUACUUGUAUGGUUAUUCUAAAGUUGUCCCUAGUCGGAGUUCAUGUGUGGACACACAUGAAUAUUAGACUAGUACAUGUAUUAGUUGAUGACUAUGCUUCACAAGUCAUGGAUAUGGAGAUGUCAAACUAAUAAUGUAGGCAUAUGUAGAGACAUGUGCUAGGACUGACCCAACGCGAGAAGUUGUUCUCUCUUUACACAACAUGUAUGCUUUGUCCUUAGACCUAAGAUUGUCGCAUGUACUCAAGAUGUGGAUCGACUAACUUAGGGGCUAUCAAACGCUACAUCGUAACAGGGUAGUUAAAAAGGUAGCUUUCGGGUUUGUCAGGAAGCAUGCUGUGAGGCAUGGUCAAUCAAGAUGGGAUUUGCCCCUCUCUGAUUGAGACUGAUAUCUCUGGGCCCCUCGAGUAAUCAGAUCCGAAAAUGCAUGGCCAUGGUACGUACAGUUAAGAGUUAACCUACAAGGGAUUCCAAAUCACAGGAUCGAGAAAGAGCGGUCAGCUUGAAGCUAGACCAAAUAUCGUGAGGCAAAGGGAAUAGCAUGUACAUGAUGUUGUGACGGUUCGUCUGAUAUGAUCUUCGUGUGCGUAUAGGAGUUGGCACAUCUUGCUAGAGGCCGCUACCGACUAUUGGGCUGAGUAGGAGUACUCGGGCCAUGUCUAUACGUAUCCGAACCCAUAGGGUCACACACUUAAGGGGUUGGAAUCCCAAUUUGAAUAUGAUCUGAGUUUGAUCAGGUUUAGAAGUACUAAUGGGCCUCGGACCCAGAGGCCCGUCAGGAACCUCUAUAAAUAGAGGGGUGGGGCGCCCUAGGGUUUCAUCCCAUUGGCUGAAAACACAUCUGUCGCGCCUCACAUGCCCUAACCCUAUUGCAGCUCGUGGACCUAGCAAUCGGGCUUGUGACGCUUCCUCCCUGCACGUGUGGAUACCUUAGAGGUGUUGCACCUGCAGCACUUGGACGAGCCACGAUCAGCCGUCGACGAGCCGAUGACGAGCCGUGGCACGAGGACGACCUUGCUGCAUGUGGAUGAGCUGCUGAGGAGCUGCUUGACAUCGACGUGAUCGACUACGUGUUCGACUACGCUGAUCGACUUCGCUGCCCCGAUGCGAUUCUACUAUUGGAGGUAUGCCCAGGAGGCAAUCAUAGAGAUGAUGAUAUUCCAUUUGUAUCCAUGAUUUAUACUGUGCUCCUUGAAUAUCCAUUAAAGGCUACUUGAAUUGAUCUGCAAUUAUGUGAAUUAUAUGUGGAACUCUUUACUUGUAUGGUUAUUCUAAAGUUGUCCCUAGUCGGAGUUCAUGUGUGGACACACAUGAAUAUUAGACUAGUACAUGUAUUAGUUGAUGACUAUGCUUCACAAGUCAUGGAUAUGGAGAUGUCAAACUAAUAAUGUAGGCAUAUGUAGAGACAUGUGCUAGGACUGACCCAACGCGAGAAGUUGUUCUCUCUUUACACAACAUGUAUGCUUUGUCCUUAGACCUAAGAUUGUCGCAUGUACUCAAGAUGUGGAUCGACUAACUUAGGGGCUAUCAAACGCUACAUCGUAACAGGGUAGUUAAAAAGGUAGCUUUCGGGUUUGUCAGGAAGCAUGCUGGGAGGCAUGGUCAAUCAAGAUGGGAUUUGCCCCUCUCUGAUUGAGACUGAUAUCUCUGGGCCCCUCGAGUAAUCAGAUCCGAAAAUGCAUGGCCAUGGUACGUACGGUUAAGAGUUAACCUACAAGGGAUUCCAAAUCACAGGAUCGAGAAAGAGCGGUCAGCUUGAAGCUAGACCAAAUAUCGUGAGGCAAAGGGAAUAGCAUGUACAUGAUGUUGUGACGGUUCGUCUGAUAUGAUCUUCGUGUGCGUAUAGGAGUUGGCACAUCUUGCUAGAGGCCGCUACCGACUAUUGGGCUGAGUAGGAGUACUCGGGCCAUGUCUAUACGUAUCCGAACCCAUAGGGUCACACACUUAAGGGGUUGGAAUCCCAAUUUGAAUAUGAUCUGAGUUUGAUCAGGUUUAGAAGUACUAAUGGGCCUCGGACCCAGAGGCCCGUCAGGAACCUCUAUAAAUAGAGGGGUGGGGCGCCCUAGGGUUUCAUCCCAUUGGCUGAAAACACAUCUGUCGCGCCUCACAUGCCCUAACCCUAUUGCAGCUCGUGGACCUAGCAAUCGGGCUUGUGACGCUUCCUCCCUGCACGUGUGGAUACCUUAGAGGUGUUGCACCUGCAGCACUUGGACGAGCCACGAUGAGCCGUCGACGAGCCGAUGACGAGCCGUGGCACGAGGACGACCUUGCUGCAUGUGGAUGAGCUGCUGAGGAGCUGCUUGACAUCGACGUGAUCGACUACGUGUUCGACUACGCUGAUCGACUUCGCUGCCCCGAUGCGAUUCUACUAUUGGAGGUAUGCCCAGGAGGCAAUCAUAGAGAUGAUGAUAUUCCAUUUGUAUCCAUGAUUUAUACUGUGCUCCUUGAAUAUUCAUUAAAGGCUACUCAAAUUGAUAUGCAAUUAUGUGAAUUAUAUGUGAAACUCUUUACUUGUAUGGAUAUUCUAAAGUUGUCCCUAGUCGGAGUUCAUGUGAGGACACACGUGAAUCUUAGACUAGCACAUGUAUUAGUUGAUGACUAUGUUUCACAAGUCAUAGACAUGGGGAUGUCAAACUAAUAAUGUGGGCAUGUGUAGAGACAUGUGCUAGGACUGACCCAACACGAGAAGUAGUUCUCUCUUCACACAACAUGUACGCUUUGUCCUUAGACCUGAGAUUAUCCAAUGUACUCAAGAUGUGGAUCGACUUACUUAGGGGCUAUCAAACGCUACACCGUAAUAGGGUACUCAAAAAGGUAGCUUUCGGGUUUGUUGAGAAGCAUGCUGUGAGGCAUAGUCAAUCAAGAUGGGAUUUUUGCCCCUCUCUGAUUGAGAGAGAUAUCUAUGGGCCCCUCGAGUGAUCGGAUCAAGAAAUGCAUGGCCAUGCUACGUACAGUUAAGAGUUAACCUACAAAAGGAUUCCGAAUCAUAGGAUCGAGAAAGAGCGAUCGGCUUGGAGCUAGACCAAAUAUCGUGAGGCAAAGGGAAUGGCAUGUACGUGAUGUCGUGAUGGUUCAUCUGAUAUGAUCUUCGUGUGCGUAUAAGAGUUGGCACGUCUUGCUAGAUGCCUCUACCGACUAUUUGGCCGAGUAGGAGUACUCGGGCCAUGUCUAUACGUAUCCAAACCCAUAGGGUCACACACUUAAGGGGCUGGAAGCCCAAUUCGGAUAUGAUCCGAAUUGGAUCAGGUUUAGAAAUACUAAUUGGUCUCGGACCUAGAGGCCCGUCAGCAACCUCUAUAAAUAGAGGGGUGGGGGCGCCCUAGGGUUUAAAAAUCCCUUUGGCCAAAAACACAUCUGCCGCGCCUCCCACACCCUCGUGCUGUUGCAACUCGCGGACCUAGCAGUCAGGCUUGCAACGCUUCCUCCCUGCACGUGUGGAUACCUUGGAGGUGUUGCACCUGUAGCACUUGUACGAGCCACGACGAGCCGCCGAUGAGCCACGGCGAGCCGACGAUGAGCCGCGGCACGAGGACGACCUUGCUGUACGUGGAUGAGCUGCUGAGGAGCUGCUCAACGUCGACGUGAUCGACUAUGUGUUCGACUACACUGAUCGACUUCGCUUCCCCGACGCGAUUCUACAUCUUCUGCACCAGUGCGUCGAGUGGUAAUUCCAUGAUCCAUAUACGGCAGUGUUCCUGGCUUACGCGGUAGAAAAAUUUUUGUUUUGCGCUAGCGUAGCCUACCUCGUAUCCCAACAGUGGUAUCAGAGCUGUAGCUUUUUUUGUUAUGGAUUCGAAAUGUGUGCAUAUGGAGAUAUGUGAGUUUUCAGAUUGAUCUAUGGUCUGUUUUCAUGUUCUUGCUGCAAUGGUCGUGUAACGACAUACUCCUACCGGUCGGAUUUCCGCCAUCGGAGUUAAGUGAUACACGUAAUGCUAGUUGCAGCAAGCGAAGAUCAAUGUGAUUGGUCGAAUCAAAAUCUAGGUUCAUACGCCAGGCGCAUGAGAUAUUAAGAGUACUCCUACAUGGGCACCCUCGAGCUUGAGUGAUCUGUCAAAAUACAUGACCCAAUGCUGUGGACAGUCUGCUUGUGUUGGUAGUUGAUUCUCCCACCAUUCUGCCAUGAAAUCGACUAGAGUUUGGGACUUAAUUGUAGUCCGAGUUCUACCGCCCAUUUAGAUAUUCUUCCUAUUGCAUCCUGGUUGUGUAGGAUUUCUCCUAGGGUGAAGUCGGUAAUGUAAGAGAUGUUGUGCUCCUGUAAGUAAUGUGGUAGCUUGCGCGAGGUAAGUAGUAUUACGUAUAGUAUUUUCUGGACUGGCGGGUAUCUGGCCUUGGAAUCUGACAACACCUUGCUGAUGAAGUAAAUAGGCCUCUGUACUUUGUAUACAUGGCCUGGUUUUGGUCUUUCAACCAUGAUCACCGUGGUGACGAUGUUAGUAGUCGUGGCGAUAUAAAGGAGCAAGUCUUCAUUAGGGUUUGGUGCCGUGAGGAUUAGUGGCUUUGAUAGGAAGUCCUUUAAUUGUUGUAGGGCUUGUGCCUCCUCGGUCCACUGGAAUUUGUCUUGCCGCUUGAGUAGUUUGAAGAAGGGUAGGCCCCAUUCUCCAAGCCUUGAGAUGAAUUUGUUGACAGCCACCAUGCAUCCGGUAAGCUUCUAGACAUCUUUAAUGCAUGAUAGGGCAUGCACGUCAGUGAUGGUAGAGACCUUUUCGGGAUUGGCAUCAAUUCCUCGAUGACUGAUGAUGAAACGAGUAGUUUCUCGGAGGGUACACUGAAGAUGCACUUUGUCAGGUUGAGCUUCCACCGGAAUGCACGUAAACUUGUGAAAGUUUCUUCUAAAUCCGCAAUCAGGUCAUCGGGAUUUCUGGUCUUUACAACCACGUCGUCCACGUACGCCUCUACGUUGCAGUGCAGCUGCUUCUUAAAGCACUCUUGAAUUGAUAAGUAGCACCUGCAUUCUUCAACCCAAAAGACAUUGUUGUGUAGCAGAAACCUCUGUAUGGGGUGAUGAACAUAGUUUUGAUUUGGUCUUCUUCCUUGAGAGCUAUCUGGUGAUACCCCGAGUAGAAAUCGAGAAAAUAGAGUUGGGUGCAUCUAGUUGUGGAGUCGAUGACUUGAUCAAUCCUAGGGAGCCCGAAAGGAUCCUUUGGGUAGUGCUUGCUAAGGUUUGUGUAGUCGACACACAUCCUCCACGCAUUGUUAUUUUUCUUUUGCACCAAGAUGGGAUUAGUAAGCUGCUCUAGAUGAUAGACUUCUUUUAUGAAGCCCAUCAUGAGUAGUUUGGCCAGUUCUUUCUUGAUGACUUCCCUUCUUUCUUGGGCAAAUCGUCGUAAGCGUUGCCUUUUUGGUGUAGCUUUUGGAUUCAUAUUUAUUCAGUGCUCGAUCAAGUCCUUGGGCACUCAUGGCAUGUCCACUGGUUUCCACGCAAAGAUGUCUCGGUUGGCUCGGAGGAAGGUGACGAGCGCAUUUUCCUAUUUAGGAUCCAGCCAUGUGCCAAUCAGGGCUGUUUUGGAGCUAUCACCAGUGUCAAGAUCAAUGGCUUUGACAUCUACUUUGCUUGUUGGCUUGACCUUGGUUGCCCCCGGCUUCUUUUUUGGGAUCUUGAGUUUUGACCAGGAUAGCUUUUUGGAUGCGACGAAGACUUGCAUUGUCGAAUUUGGUACUUGUGUAGUUGCUUAUAGCUCAACGGCUUCUGUGGCACAGUCAUACGACCUCUUCAAGUCUCCGUGCAGGGAGAGUAUGUUGGAGGUAUGCCCUAAAGGCAAUCAUAGAGAUGAUGAUAUUCCAUUUAUAUCCUUGAUUUAUAUUGUGUUCCUUGAAUAUCCAUUAAAGGCUACUUGAAUUGAUUUGCAAUGAUGUGAAUUGUACGUGAAACUCUUUACUUGUAUGGUUAUUCUAAAGUUGUCCCUAGUCGGAGUUUAUGUGAGGACACACAUGAAUAUUAGACUAACACAUGUAUUAGUUGAUGACUAUGUUUCACAAGUCAUGGACAUGGAGAUGUCAAACUAAUAAUGUGAGCAUGUGUAGAGACAUGUGCUAGGACUGACCCAACACAAGAAGUAGUUCUCUCCUUACACAACAUGUACGCUUUGUCUAUAGACCUGAGAUGGUCGCAUGUACUCAAGAUGUGGAUCGACUUACUUAGGGGCUAUCAAACGCUACACCAUAACAGGGUAGUUAAAAUGGUAGCUUUCGGGUUUGUUAAGAAGCAUGCUGUGAGGCAUGGUCAAUCAAGAUGGGAUUUGCCCCUCUAUGAUGGAGAGUGAUAUCCCUGGGCCCCUCGAGUGAUCGGAUCCAAAAAUGCAUAGCCAUGCUACGUACGGUUAAGAGUUAACCUACAAAGGGAUUCCGAAUUACAGGAUCGAGAAAGGGCAAUCUUGCUAGAGGCUGCUACUGACUAUUGGGCCAAGUAUCUGAACCCAUAGGGUCACACACUUAAGAGGCGGGAAGCCCCAUUUGGAUAUGAUCCGAGUCGGAUCAGGUUUAGAAGAACUAAUUUGUUGGGAUACGAGGUAGGCUACACUAGCGCAAAAUAAAAAUUGUACCACGUAAACUAGGAAAACUGCCGUAUAAGGAUCACGGGAUUACCACUCGACGCACUACUGGUGCGGAAGAUGUAGAUUCGCGUCGAUGCAGCGAAGUCAAUCAACGUAGUUGUACGUAGUCGAUCACGUCGAUGUCUAGCAGCUCCUCAGCAGCUCGUCCACGUGCAGCAAGAUCUCCCUCGUGCCUUGGCUCGUCGUUGGCUCGUCGUGGCUCGUCGGCGGCUCAUCGUGGCUCAUCGGCAGCUCGUCCAAGUGCUGCAGGCGCAACACCUCCAAGGUAUCCACACGUGCAGGGAGGAAGCGUCGCAAGCCGGACUGCUAGAUCCGUGAGUUGCAACAGGCGAGGGCGUGAGAGGCGCGGUAGAUGAGUUUCGCCAAAAAGGUGUAAACCCUAGGGCGCCCCGACCCCUCUAUUUAUAGAGGUUCCUAACGGGCCUCUGGGUCCGAGGCCCAUUAGUACUUCUAAAUCUAAUCCAACUCGGAUCACAUCCGAAUUAGGCUUCCAGCCCCUUAAGUGUGUUACCCUAUGGGUUCGGAUACAUAUACACAUGGCCCGAGUACUCCUACUUGGCCCAAUAGUCGGUAGCGGCCUCUAGCAAGACGUGCCAACUCCUAUAUGCACACGAAGAUCAUAUCAGACGAACCAUCACAACAUUAUAUAUAUGCUAUUCCCUUUGCCUCACGAUAUUUAGUCUAGCUUCAAGCCGACCGCUCUUUCUCGAUCCUGUGAUUCGGAAUCCCUUUGUAGGUUAACUCUUAACCGUACGUAGCAUGGCCAUGCAUUUUUCGGAUCUGAUCACUCGAGGGGCCCAGAGAUAUCACUCUCAAUAAGAGAGGGGCAAAUCCCAUCUUGAUUGACCAUGUCUCAUAGCAUGCUUCUUGACAAACCCGAAAGCUACCUUUAUAACUACCCUGUUACGGCGUAGCGUUUGAUAGCCCCUAAGUAAGUCGAUCCACAUCUUGAAUACAUGUGACAAUCUCAGGUCUAAGGACAAAGCGUAUACAUUGUUUAAAGAGAGAACUACUUCUCGUUUUUGGUUAGUCCUAGCACAUGUCUCCACAUGUGCCCACAUUAUUAGUUCAACAUCUCCAUGUCCAUGACUUGUGAAACAUAGUCAUCAACUAAUACAUGUGCUAGUCUAACAUUCAUGCGUGUCCUCACAUGAACUCUGACUAGGGACAACUUUAGAAUAACCAUACAAGUAAAGAGUUUCACACACAAUUCACAUAAUUGCAAAUCAAUUCAAGUAGCCUUUAAUGGAUAUUCAAGGAACACAACAUAAAUAAUGGAUACAAUGGAAUAUCAUCAUCUCUAUGAUUGUCUCUAGGGCAUACCUCCAACAGUCUCCCACUUGCACUAGAGUCAAUCUAGAAGGUACCUAAUACCCAUAGCUCUUACAUGCGCAUCAUGCUUAGCCUGCGGGAGUGGUUUUAUCAACGGAUUAGAAAUGUUCAGAUCCGUGUGUAUUUUGCAUAUCUUAAUCUCACCCCGGUUAACGAAGUCUCGAAUGAGAUGAAAUCGCUGCAUUACGUGUUUGUUCUUCUGGUGGUUCCUUGGCUCCUUUGCUUGCACAAUUGCCCCAUUGUUAUCACAGUAGAGAUUCAAUGGGCUGGACGCAUUCGGGAACACACCAAGCUCAAUGAGGAAAUUCCUUAUCCAAACACCCUCCUUCACGGCUUCCGAAGCUGCGAUGUACUCGGCUUCUGUCGUAGAAUCGGCCACCGUCUCCUGCUUGGAACUCUUCCAACUAACAGCACCACCAUUUAGCGUGAGCACAAAUCCUGAUUGUGACUUUGAAUCAUCUCUGUCAGUUUGGAAACUAGCAUCGGUGUAACCUGUUACAACAAGCUCCUCCUCACCUCCAUAGACGAGGAACAUAUCUUUAGUCCUUCUCAAGUACUUAAGAAUGUUUUUCACCGCUGUCCAGUGACUCUCACCUGGAUCAGACUGGUGUCUGCUUGUCAUACUUAGUGCAUAUGAAACAUCUGGGCGAGUACUUAUCAUUGCAUACAUGAUAGAUCCAAUAGCCAAGGCAUAUGGCACUCUACUCAUGCGACCCCGCUCAUCCGCAGUCGAAAGACACUGAGUCUUGCUGAGAUGUAUGCCAUGUGACAUAGGCAAGAACCCUUUCUUUGCCUCUUCCAUGCUGAACCGCUUCAACACUUUGUCAAUGUAAGUAUCUUGGCUUAAUCGUAUAAACCUUCUCGAUCUAUCUCUAUAGAUCUUAAUGCCCAGAAUAUAUGUCGCUUCCCCUAAGUCCUUCAUCGAAAAACUAUUUUUCAGUGAAGUCUUUACGGACUCAAGCAUAGGAAUGUUAUUUCCAAUCAGCAAUAUGUCAUCCACAUAUAAAAUUAGAAAUAAUACAGAGCUCCCACUAACUUUCUUGUAAACACAAGACUCUUCUUCGUUCUUGGUGAAAUCAAACCCUUUGACCACUUCAUCAAAACGAAUGUUCCAACUCCUAGAUGCUUGCUUCGAUCCAUAAAUGGAUCUUUGAAGCUUACAUACCUUUCCAGCAUUUUUCGGAUCGACAAAACCCUCAGGCUGUAUCAUAUACACGUCCUCAGCUAGGUUUCCAUUCAAGAAAGCUGUCUUGACAUCCAUCUGCCAUAUCUCAUAAUCGAAAUAUGCAGCUAUAGCUAGAAUAAUCCGAAUGGACUUAAGCAUCACUACGGGCGAAAAAGUCUCGUCAUAGUCAACUCCUUGAACUUGUCGAAAACCUUUUGCGACAAGUCGUGCUUUAUAGAUGUGAACAUUUCCAUCCAUGUCCUUUUUCUUCUUAUAGAUCCACUUGCACUCUAUGGCUUUAACACCAUCAGGCGGGUCAACCAAGUUCCAAACUUGAUUAUCUCCCAUGGACUCUAUUCCGGAUUGCAUGGCACUCUGCCAUUUUUCGGAGUCUGGGUCCAUCAUUGCUUCUGCAUAUGUCGUAGGCUCAUCAUUGUCCAAAAAUAAUAUUUCCCGCAUUUCGCGGAGCCUUGCCAACCUUCGUGGUUGUGGUGGUGCUUCUCUUGCCAUGGGUAUCUCAACUUGUUCUGCUACGUUAGCAUCACUCAUUGAUUCUUGCCCAAUCGGCUCAUCUUGAACUUCUUCAAGAUGCACUAUCUUUCUACUCUUUUUUCCUUUGAGAAACUCUUUCUCUAGGAAAACCCCGUUCCGAGCGACAAACACUUUGCCCUCUGACCGGUUGUAGAAAUAAUAUCCCAAAGUUUCCUUUGGAUAUCCCACGAAAAUGCUCUUAUCCGACUUGGAUGUGAUCUUGUCCGACUGAAGUCGCUUGACAAACACUUCACAUCCCCAAAUCUUUAGAAAAGACAAACUGGGAACCUUUCCAGUCCACAUCUCAUAUGGUGUCUUAACUACGGAUUUAGAUGGUACCCUAUUAAGUGUGAAAGCUGCUGUUUCUAGAGCGUAUCCCCAAAAUGACAACGGUAGGUCCGACUGGCUCAUCAUUGAUCAAACCAUGUCUAACAAAGUUCAAUUACGUCGCUCGGAUACACCGUUUCUCUGAGGUGUUCCAGGCGGCGUAAGUUGUGGAACAAUUCCGCAACUCUUUAAAUGAUUGCUAAACUCGUGGCUCAACUAUUCACCUCCACGAUCAGAUCGUAAGGCCUUAAUUUUCUUGGCACGCUGAUUUUCAACUUCAUUCUUAAAUUCCUUGAACUUUUCAAAGGUUUCAGACUUAUGCCCCAUCAAGUAGACAUAGCCAUAUCUACUAAAAUCAUCAGUGAAAGUUAUGAAGUAUUGGAAUUCUCCUCUAGCCAUCGUGCUCAUUGGUCCGCAUACAUCGCUAUGUACGAGUUCCAACAAGUCUACUUGUAGCGACCGACCCCUAACCUUUCCCAGUUAGGUUUGAUCUCAGCCCUUAACCUCAGUCAGUUGUUCUGUUGACCGCACCUAAGUGCUCAGUCUUCCGCCAGUUCCGACCCCUGAGAUCCGACCCCUACUGCUUCGUUCCUUUCCCGACCCUGGCGAGUUCAGCCCUCCGUCGGAUCCUGCUGAUCUUCCUCACCCGUCCGAUCUUUUCCCCCGGUAGACCGUGAGAUCCUUUCCAGAUCCCCCGCGUCAGUCGCACUCGAGUUGCAUGGCCGCCUCAGAGUUUUCCUGCCGCGUGGCUCGUCUUCUCCGACGCCAUCGCCCAGUUUUGUCUCUGGCAAGCAACAGAGUGGGUUCCCGCGCCCCUUUUCCCGAAUGGUAGCGGAAGCCCUCUGCACCCCUUUCAGCAAAGCCUCGUCUCCCGCGCCCAUCAUCGCGAUACUAGAUCCCGGCCCCGGAGACCGAUGUCGCCCGUCUUUUCCGUCCCUUCCAGCAAUAGUUGCGCCGCCCGGUCGUCGCUACACGACGAUUCCCCCACCGCCAACCCCGACCGCGGCCGCGACAGUUCCUUUCCCCGCUCUAUCAGAAACCGCCCGACAAUCUGUUGUUCCGCGCUCUCCCCCGCGCCGCGUCCGCUUGUUCUCCCACCUGUGCACCCUCGAUCCUAGCGCCGUUUAACAGGUCGCUUCUAUCACCUCUCCCGCACGACGACGCCCGCUCUCCGCCAAAUCCCAACCACUGGUCUACCCGCGCCUACGCCGCCCUGACGGAGUAGCGCAAUGAUCGCUGGCGUCACCCCCGGAGUUCUGCAGCACCGCCCGGUUUGCUCAAUCGCCGCCACGACAGAGCACUCCAUUGCUUCUCCCCGGCCUUCGCGCCGCUCCCCUCCUCUCUCCCCGCGACGUUUCCGUUCCUCUGCUUCAGCAGCUAUAAAAGGAAUGCCCCCGUCGCCGGAGUUCCCUCCGCCUUUGUUGCCCUUAGCCUCCUCUAGCUCCCUGCUCAAGCUUCUAGCGCCACCCACCCAGUUCUUGAAAAGUUCUUCUCCCAGUUCCUUCUCAGUUCCUCCAAGUCACCCCGCAGCUUGCUCCCUUGUGCUGCGUAGAGCUCUCUUGUGAUCCGCAAGAAGCGCCGCCGCCGGAGCAUCGCCGGUCUUAGUCCCUGCAAGAAGCUUUAGUUCCCCGCCCAAGUCUGCCUCUUCCCGACCCCAAGCUUUCCUUUCAGGAAGAAGGUGAGUGCCGACCCUAAGUCCGCCUCGCCCGACCCCUCCUAUCCGCCCGACCCCAGUUCCGUCUCGUCCGACCCUGUCUGUUCGCCGACCCUUGUCCGCCUCGCCCGAGGGCUUGGCUGUGAUCUUUUUCUUCAACUCGAGGGUGUAUGUGUAAAACGUGGGAACCCUUCAGCGCCUACGUCUGAGGAUCCCAGUUAUCACAUCCUCUAGUUCGGGGAUCAGACCACUAGUUCCCUUCCUACCCUUACCUGUUGAUCAUCAUCAGCUCUCUCAAACAGCCUCAACCUCCUGCUCUUUGUCGCAAGUUUCUGGGCUCAGGAGAGCCAGUGUUGCUGUCAAAUCAAACGUUUAAGCUAACCCUGGCAUUGCAUUCGUGUAGAGCUGCAUCUCGCUGACGGCUUCUACGAGCUGCACCCGGCACCCGAAGAAGAAGCCGUAGCUGAGAUCCUGCCCGCGGAAGUCGAAGCCGCCCCCGAAGUCGAGCAGUUCCAGCCCUCCUUGUUUGCAGGCAAGCCCCGGUUGCAUGAAAAAUCCUACGUGUUUUUGCCAAACUUGCACACGCCUUCCGAAUAGCAUAUUUGUGCAUUUACGUUUAGGAGUUGUGUGAAACCCUAGAUGCAUGACUUAGUAACCCUUGAUAUGAACACUAGCUGUUGGACCGAAUAGCUGCAUUGCUUAAAUAGGAGACGGUAAAAGCCGAGUGAUCUCCUGUCACUCGCGAGUUGUAGGAGUUGCAUGUUUACUCUGCUACAACUAUAAGGACGGUGGACGGGGCAGGGUUGGGUAACACUUUGGUGGUCGGAUGGUUGCCCCGUCUGUCUAUGAAAACUUGCUAAGGCCCGACAGUGGUGGUGUUCGUGAUCAAGUGUUUGAAAGUACUAGCCUCAUACUUAGUAUGGGAUGAGGAAGCCUAGUACCUGAUUGAACCUAGACGUGAGCGGUCGCCCCAUUGUUCUUGGAACAGAGUUUCCCCUGCUGUUUGUCGCACGUGGUGGCAAAGCGUGGUCACAGAACGGCAGAGACCGGGUCUGCGGAACCUUGCACCAAAGGAAAUGGGCCCGACACGGGUUAGGGGAUUGAUGGGGAAGGCCGACAUAGGAAACGACCUCCGGGUGCGCGGAUGUCGUGGGGCUAGGUUCACCAUGCAUGGUUAAAGAACUCGAAUCGAUUCGUCUGCCUCUCACAGUUUGAGAUUUCUUGAUCACUACGUCACCCUGAGUAAAUGAGGAAUCUGAUGAUGGCAAUGUUGUUGUUUUUAUCUACACAUCUUGUUUGGCUCGAUGUUUGCUUAGAGUAGGUUGCACAACCUAGACUGGUAAGUAAAUCUAGAACUGGAACUAAAACUUGAAAAAUAGGUUACUUAGUGCUUUUGGCAAAACAAACCCCUCAGCCAAGAAGCCUUGCAUGUCUAGUUGGAAGAGUAGUUGGCCCUCCCCGGUUAAGUCUUGUUGAGCUUAGUAGCUCAGCCUUGUUGUGGCUCCUGUUUUUCAGGUGAAGUUGCAGUUCCCGACCCCUCCCUUGUUGGAGCUUGGCCGCCCCAGCUCCCGCCAGGCUGGACGGUCGAGUGGGAUCCCGCCUCGGACGGCGAGGAGAGGACUCAGUGAUGUUCUGGUUGGCCUCGCCCGGACGUCCGACCCCGACGAAAUCUUCCGCUAGCUUUCUCUGUUGAUCUUUGUUUGUAAACCCUAAUGUUGGAUUUUAUGGUGGAACCAAAAUGAGUAAAACUUGUUCAAAAUCCGUGGACUCGUUGUAUUCUCUGUAACCGCUCGCAAAUGAAUAACCAUCCUUCAUCAAGCAUGAAGGAGACAAAAUGUUUCGACUUAAACUAGGAACGAAAUAACAAUUAUUCAACUCCAUAAUAAAUCCUGAUGGGAGGUGGAGUUGCAUCGUCCCGAUGGUCAACGCAGCAACUCUUGCAUUAUUGCCCACGCAGAAAUCAACUUCUCCUCUUUCCACGCUUCUACUUCUUAUCAUUCCCUGCAUCGAACUGCAAAUAUGAGCGAGAAAAAUGUUUUCUAUAACAUUAACAACAAGCGUACCUGAGGUAAAAGUACUCUUACUUCCGCCAUUCUUCAACGAAGGUAGGUACUGCUUGCAGUUUCUCUUCCAGUGACCAGGUUCGUGACAAUAAAAGCACUCUUUAUCUGGAGUAGGUCCAGCUUUAGCCUUGGGCGCUGGGUUUGGCUUGGACACUCCAGCCUUACCCUUCUUCUUCCAAGAAUUGUCCUUCUUCUUGAAGGUAGGCUUGUUCUGUACAGCCAUCACAUGGCUUGUACUAGCACUUUUCUUAAUGUCUACCUCUGCUGUCUUGAGCAUACCACACAGUUCAUUCAGACCCUUCUCCGUCCCAUGCAUAUGGUAGUUCGAGAUGAAGUUCCCAUAGCUAGGCGGAAGAGAUGAAAGAAUGAAGUCAGUGGCCAACUAUUUGCCCAUUGGGAAGCCCAGCUUCUCCAAUCGCUGAGUGUAACCAACCAUCUUGAUUACAUGUGGUCCUACUACUGCGCCUUCUGCUAGCUUGCACUCCAUAAAGGCUUUGGACACAUUGAACCUUUCAGUCCUAGCCUAUGUCUGGAAUAGGUUCUUGAGCGCCACGAUCAUAUCGUGUGCCUCAUGAUUUGUUUCGAACUGCAUCUACAGCUCGGGUUCCAUGCAAGCAAGCACAAGGCAGCUUACCUCAAGAUUAGCAUCAAAUGCCUUCUUGUAAGCAGCCUUAACGGCAGCAGAUGCAUCAUCAGCAGGUACUGGUGGUAGUGGGGUGUCUAGAACAUCUUCCUAUUUAUCGGUCCUGAGAACAAUUCUCAGGUUACAGAUCCAAUCCGAGUAGUUUGUUCCAUUCAACUUGUCCUUCUCAAGGACCGAACGCAAAGGAAACGGUGUGGUGUUGCUAGGUGCCAUUUAAUCUACAACAAAAGUAAUGCAAAAUACACUAAGACAAACUUAUCCAUGAUAGAGCAAAUCACAUUAAACUAUUUUAACAGAAUCUACUCCCACUAAAAUCAAUAUCCCUCUAUUGAUACUUAGUGAUUCAGGAUCCACAACUAACAAGUCUACUAGUGAGCUUUAGCAUCACUGCUAGGAAACAAGGUAGAUCGGUAAGCAACUUUUGCUAAUCAUAUCACAUAUGACUCCUGUUGUUGGGUGACAUCUCCAUGUCUCGGCGCCCAACCUUUAUACCCCAAGGUCCUUAACCGUUAAGUUAACCUUGUUAAGCAAACCAACCCUUAUGCGUGUAUGUGUCCGACACAAACCCGUCUAAUCAAGGAAAACUAGUGGCACCCUAAUUUCAUAGACCAACCACUAAUUGUACAAGACAUGGGACGGUGCAAGUUUCAGUUGGGAGGGCAUACUAACUUAAACUUUGUGAGGGAUCGUUCUACUUCUAACAUCACUGCAUGCAGAAAGUAAAACAUAAACAGUAUAGCAUUCACAUAGUUGUGACACAGUAUGGCCCAUUUUCUUAUGGUGAUCUCCAUCUCCAUAGAACCUGUUCAACAUGGUGAUCUCCAUCUCCAUGUUCCAUGUGUGCCAUCCUCCUGGUGAUGAGUCAUCCAAGAACUGGAACAUGCUAUUACGCCUAAUAGCUAGUAAAGAAGCUAGUAAUGAAGAUUACAUAGUUGCUUGGAUCAUCACAGAUUGGUAUGCAGACCAUUAAAUACAUUAAGGUGACAACACAUAUGACUCCUACCGUGUUGCCGGAUGUGCGACACGCAGGUCACGAAUGAGUUAUACACAUGCAUCACAUACACAAAGGGGCCAUACUGAUCACAAGAUACAUACAUCCUGCAAAACAGAGUUAAGCGUCCUAACGUUCCAAACUUCGGAGGCCUGAAACUCCAUCUUCCAAGCCGAAUUUGGGAAAUCUAAUUUCGCCGUUGAAUUUUCUGUAUAACUUUUUCUGUAGAUCAAUUUUCAUAUAAAAUUCGCCCUGAUCCGAGAUCGUACUGAAAAGUUCUGGCUAAUUGACAGAAGCAUACGCACACGGCAAAAUGCCAACCCCAGCAGUAGAUCCCAUCUACUAUUGCACAUCUCAUGUGCCUCGCGUAUGAAACUAGAUUUCGAUUCGACCAAUCACAUUAAUCUUCGCUCACUGCAACUGGAAUUACGUGUAUCACUUAACUUCGAUGGGGGAAACCCGACCGGUAGGAGUAUGUCGUUACACUACCAUAGCAGCAAGAACACGAAACCAGGACAUAGAUCAAAUUGAAAACUCGCAUAUCUCCAUAUGCACACAUCCCGAAUCCAAAACUAAAUAGCUACAGCUCUGAUACCACUGUUGGGAUACGAGGUAGGCUACACUAGCGCAAAACAAAAAUUCUACCACGUAAACCAGGAAAACUGUCGUAUAAGGAUCACGGGAUUAGCACUCGACGCACUACUGGUGCGGAAGAUGUAGAUUCGCGUUGAUGCAGCAAAGUUGAUCAACGUAGUCGUACGUAGUCGAUCACGUCGACGUCAAGCAGCUCCUCAGCAGCUCGUCCACGUGCAGCAAGAUCUCCCUCGUGCCACGGCUCGUCGUCGGCUCGUCGUGGCUCGUUGGCGGCACUACAUGUGCAGGGAGGAAGCGUCGCAAGGCAGACUGCUAGAUCCGUGAGUUGCAAUAGGCGAGGGCGUGGGAGGCGCGGCAGAUGAGUAUCGCCAAAAAGGUGUAAACCCUAGGGCGCCCCCACCCCUCUAUCUAUAGAGGUUCCUAAUGGGUUCUCUAUCCGUGAGCUGCUCGACGUCGACGUGAUCGACUACGUGUUCGACUACGUUGAUCGACUUCUCUGCCCCGACGCGAUUUUACACCUUCCGUACCAGUGGGUCGAGUGGUAAUCCCGUGAUCCAUAUACGCCAGUUUUCCUAGUUUAUGCGGUAGAAAAAUUUUGUUUUGCGCUAGCGUAGCCUACCUCGUAUCCCAACAGUGGUAUCAGAGCCGUAGCUAUUUUGUUAUGGAUUCGGGAUGUGUGCAUAUGGAGAUAUGCGAGUUUUCAGAUUGAUCUAUGGCCUGUUUCCGUAUUCUUACUGCAAUGGUCAUGUAACGACAUACUCCUACCGGUUGGAUUUCCGCCAUCGGAGUUAAGUGAUACACAUAAUGCCAGUUGCAACAAGCGAAGAUCAAUGUGAUUGGUCAAAUCGAAAUCUAGGUUCAUACGCCAGGCGCAUGUGAUGCGCAAUAGUAGAUUGGAUCUACUAUCGGGUCAAAAUUUUGCCGUAUGCGUGUGCUUCGGUAAAACAGCCGUAAGUUUUCGGUACGAUCUCAGAUCGAGACAAAUUUUAUAUAAAAAUUGAUCUACAGAAAAAGUUACACAUAAAAUUUAAUGGGUUGGCCAUUUUCAACGUAAGUAGAUUUCCUAAAUUUGGCUUGGAAGAUGGAGUUUCGUGGCUCUGAAGUUUGGAACAUUAGAACACCUAACUCUGUUUUGCAGGAUGCUAUGAUUUUUUGAUCAGUAUGGUCCCUUGUGUAUGUGAUGCAUGUGUGUAACUCAUUCAUGCCCUGUGUGUCGCGCGUACGGCAACACGGCUGGAGCCAUAUGUGUUGUCACCUUAAUGUAUUUAGUGGUCUGCGUACCAAUUUGUGAUGAUCCAAGCCACUACGUAAUCUACAUUACUAGCUAUUAGGUGUAAUAGCAUGUUGUAGUUCUUGGAGGACUCAUCACCAAGAGGAUGGCACACAUGGAACAUGGAGAUGGAGAUCACCAUGGUGAACAUGUUCUAUGGAGAUGGAGAUCACCAUAAGAAAAUGGGCCAUAUUGUGUCACAACUGUGUGAAUGCUAUUCUGUUUAUGUUUUACUUUCUGCAUGUAGUGAUGUUAGAAGUAGAACGAUCCCUCACAAAGUUUACGUUAGUAUGCCCUCCCAACUAAAACUUGCACCGUCCCAUGUCUUGUACAAUUGGUGGUGGUUUUAUGAAAUUAGGGUGCCACUAGUUUUCCUUGACUAGACGGGUUUGUGUCGGACACUUACACGCAUAAGGGUUGGUUUGCUUAACAAGGUUAUCUUAACGGUUAAGGACCUUGGGGCAUAAAGGUUGGGCACCGAGACAUGGAGAUGUCACCCAACAACAGGAGUCAUAUGUGAUAUGAUUAGCAAGAAGUUGCUUACCGAUCUACCUCGCCUGCUAGCGGUGAUGCUAAAGCUCACUAGUAGACUUGUUAGUUGUGGAUCCUGAAUCACUAAGUAUCAAUAGAGGGGUAUUGAUUUUAGUGGGAGUAGAUUCUGUUAAAUAGUUUAAUGUGAUUUACUCUGUCAUGGAUACGUUUGUCUUAGUGUAUUUUGCAUUACUUUUGUUGUAGAUUAAAUGGCACCUAGCAACACCAAACCGUUUGCUUUGCGUUCAGUCCUUGAGAAGGACAAGAUAAAUGGAACAAACUACUCGGAUUGGAUCCUUAACCUGAGAAUUGUUCUCAGGGUCGAUAAAAAUGAAGAUGCUCUAGACAUCCCAUUACCACAAGUACCUGCUGAUGAUGCAUCUGCUGCCGUUAAGGCUGCUUACAAGAA